rnacentral:lncRNA from 1 species
CGGGUGUAUAUAUUAAAUAGUAAAUAAUUCGUCAUGAAAUGUACUUCAUUUUUAUAGAUGAGGAUCGAACUCUGACCCAUAAUAUAAUUUAGAAAUGAAGCGAGCAAACAUUCCACCACACCUACACUAUCAAAACCUGAAUUUUAAAAAGAUUAUCAUAUCUUGAAUGCAAUCAAUCGUCCUUGUUGUCCAAUUUCCAACCUGUGUUCUGAACCUCAUGCACACACGCCCCCAACAAUUACAAAUAUUUAACUACUUCAAAAUCAUUCUUAGCUUACACAAAUUAUAUUACAUAAAUAAAAGAACUUCAACCAUGCCAUACACAAUCAUCCCGUGAAGAAUAGCUGCCAUCAGCUCCUCUUGUUGCGGCUGGNNNNNNNNNNNNNNNNNNNNNNNNNNNNNNNNNNNNNNNNNNNNNNNNNNNNNNNNNNNNNNNNNNNNNNNNNNNNNNNNNNNNNNNNNNNNNNNNNNNNNNNNNNNNNNNNNNNNNNNNNNNNNNNNNNNNNNNNNNNNNNNNNNNNNNNNNNNNNNNNNNNNNNNNNNNNNNNNNNNNNNNNNNNNNNNNNNNNNNNNNNNNNNNNNNNNNNNNNNNNNNNNNNNNNNNNNNNNNNNNNNNNNNNNNNNNNNNNNNNNNNNNNNNNNNNNNNNNNNNNNNNNNNNNNNNNNNNNNNNNNNNNNNNNNNNNNNNNNNNNNNNNNNNNNNNNNNNNNNNNNNNNNNNNNNNNNNNNNNNNNNNNNNNNNNNNNNNNNNNNNNNNNNNNNNNNNNNNNNNNNNNNNNNNNNNNNNNNNNNNNNNNNNNNNNNNNNNNNNNNNNNNNNNNNNNNNNNNNNNNNNNNNNNNNNNNNNNNNNNNNNNNNNNNNNNNNNNNNNNNNNNNNNNNNNNNNNNNNNNNNNNNNNNNNNNNNNNNNNNNNNNNNNNNNNNNNNNNNNNNNNNNNNNNNNNNNNNNNNNNNNNNNNNNNNNNNNNNNNNNNNNNNNNNNNNNNNNNNNNNNNNNNNNNNNNNNNNNNNNNNNNNNNNNNNNNNNNNNNNNNNNNNNNNNNNNNNNNNNNNNNNNNNNNNNNNNNNNNNNNNNNNNNNNNNNNNNNNNNNNNNNNNNNNNNNNNNNNNNNNNNNNNNNNNNNNNNNNNNNNNNNNNNNNNNNNNNNNNNNNNNNNNNNNNNNNNNNNNNNNNNNNNNNNNNNNNNNNNNNNNNNNNNNNNNNNNNNNNNNNNNNNNNNNNNNNNNNNNNNNNNNNNNNNNNNNNNNNNNNNNNNNNNNNNNNNNNNNNNNNNNNNNNNNNNNNNNNNNNNNNNNNNNNNNNNNNNNNNNNNNNNNNNNNNNNNNNNNNNNNNNNNNNNNNNNNNNNNNNNNNNNNNNNNNNNNNNNNNNNNACCUAGCUGUUUGUAUACAAAAACACCACCUCNUCCACCGAGAAGAGGCUGUGGUUACUCCACGCGACAAGCGCGUGAUCCAUUCGUCGUGUCCGCCUCCGCAGCGCGAGGGAUCUUACCCUUACAACAUACCCCCACGCCACAAUAUAUGCACCACAAUUCAACANGACGGGCCCUCUCCUACCGUACGUCAUAUAAACCACCACCCCCUUCUGCCAUGUGGCUUUGACGAAAAGUCUUCCCACGUAGUCUAAUCUGAACUCCAUCUUGUGAUUCCCACCCUCCACGCGCCCACCCAAGGCUCCUCGCACCUCGUUGAGUCAAAAAUCCCUCUCCCCUCCACAAUUGCCUAUUCUCGCUAAACAUCCAUAACGGUCGACCGAUAUGUCUUCACCUCUGGGAGAUGAACACUCGUUCACAAUUACGGAAUAUGGAAACUACCAAGGCGGGUAAAACACUUUUGGGAUGACAAGGCUUCGGGGACUUUUCCGUUACUCUUCUGGCAACUUAAGGUGGACUUUUCCCCCUCGAGGCUAUCUCCUCUCUCAAUCUAAGUAUAUUGCCACCAUUCUUGCACAAACUCGUCUCUCUGAUACUCGAACAAUUGACACUCCUCUUGAAAUGAAUACUCGAUAUAACUCAUCUGAUGGUGUCCCUUCGGAAGAUCUUACUUUGUAUCACACUCUUGUUGGUAGCUUGGUGUAUCUUACCAUUACUAGACCCGAUAUGCAGUGCAUGUUGUUAGUCAGUUUGUUUCCUCCCCUACUACAGUUCAUUGGGCAGCUAUUCUUCGCAUUCUUCGUUAUCUUCGGGGCACUCAGUUUCAAAGCCUUUUAUUCCCCUCUUCUUCCUCAUUGGAGCUGCGUGCUUACUCUGAUGCUGAUUGGGCUGGUUCUCCCUCUGAUCGAAAAUCUACAACUGGUUUUUGCAUUUUCCUUGUAGAUUCUCUUAUUUCUUGGAAAAGUAAGAAGCAAGUUGUUGUCUCACGAUCUUCUAUUGAAGCUGAAUAUCGUGCCAUGGCAUCCACUACUGCAGAAAUUGUUUGGUUGCGUUGGUUACUUGAGUCCAUGGGUGUCUCCCUCUCUACACCUACUCCUAUGUAUUGUGAUAAUAAUAAUAAUAUGAGUUCCAUCCAGAUUACUCGCAACUCAGUCUUUCAUGAACGCACCAAACACAUUGAGAUUGAUUGUCAUUUCACUAGACAUCAUUUUCAGCAGGGGACUAUCACCUUGCCCUUUGUGUCCUCCUCCAUGCAGCUUGCUGACCUAUUUACUAAGUCUCAUUCUGCUAGGCGUUUUCGUUUCUUGAUUGGCAAACUCUCGAUGCUUCCUGUUCCUGUUGAUGCAUCGUGAGUUUGAGGGGGGAUGUUAGAUAAUAUUACAUUAUUUUAUUAUUUAGGUUUUAUGGGUAGUAUAGUCUUUUACUCUUGACCUAUUUAUACUCUGCUUUGUCUCUUAUUGUAAUACUUUUAGAUUAUUGUUUGCCUCCAAUGAAACCCUAGCACAUCUUUCUCUUAUGCUCUCUCUUCAUCUUUUCUAUUUCUCCUAACAGUGAGUAUCUUUUAGCCUAUUAUUAUAUUUUUGGUCAAAAUCUUUUAGUCUAUUUCGUAGUCCCACAUUUUGCUAGGCCUUGUGCCUUUGGGCCUGUUCAAGGAAAUUUAUGCAUCAUUAACAAAAAUGUAAUAAUAAUUCCAAUAUGGUAAGAAACGGGCUGGAUAACUUGACAAGCAAAGCUGCAUCAAGUGCACCAGGUCCUAAUCACCACACCAUGUAUGGUUUGGUGCAGUGCAUGCCUGAUUUGUCUGAGUCACAGUGCAAUGCAAUGCUUGCUUGGUUGUGCCUACUGCAAGUAUCGCCAUGGAUUGUUGUGAAGACAAGAUAUAUAGGUGGCAGAAUUGUUAGGCCAAUUCGUAACAUUAGAUUUGUAACCAAUCUUCUCUUCUAUGGACCUACAGCAGCAGCACCUACUCCCCCAUCCACCACCAUUGUACGUAAGACUUCUUCCGUUCUUCACAAGGUACUUGUGUCAUGUUAUUCUUUACUGAUAGCUGUUUUUUGUGUAAAAACACUACUGUACCGUGAAGUUGACUUCAUGAUCCAUUAUGUGCUGAUUUCACACUAAGAAGUUAUAUAUAACAAAGUUAUAGUGCAUGUUUGGAUGUGUGUUGGAAACGUACUCCAAAAUACUUAAGCAAAUAAGCUCUAUCUUGUAACUUAAUGUGAUUUUAAGGUUUAAUGUGAAUUUCAAACGUGCAAACCAAACAUGUACUUAAACAAGGUUUUAUUGUAGUCACGAGUAUUAGUCAAGUCACGUCUGGACUACUUAUGAAGGAAAAGUUACUAAUUAAAACCCAUUCCCUAUGUGAAGCUCAAGAAGAAGAUGAUGAUAUCAAUGAAAUUGAAAUUCCUGAGUCAUUGCAAUUCAACUUUAACACCAUACCAGAUGCUACAAACGACUUCUCUGAUUGUAAUAAACUUGGACAAGGUUUACUUAUGGUGCUGCUUACAAGGUAAGAUAACAUUGUUUUUUUUUUUUUGAACUGAUAACAUUGUUGAAUAUAUAUAUAUAUAAAACUUCACAGAAAACAUGGUAUUCUCAAAUACUUGCAGAAAACUUACAAUUCUUGACUGACAUUUUCAGGGUAGGAUCUCCAAUGAAAUGAAAACCUUCCAAACAUGCAGUCUUGGGAGUAUAAUUCAGCUCAAGAGUCAGUUAAUGAGGCUUCAAUUAUAGAGCUAUAUAUUUCCUCACUAGAAUCUGAUCAUAAUCGUGAUAGACAUAUACAUAUUAAGUUCAGAAUAAACAAAUUCAAUUCUACAAAUGUGGUGACGUGACGUUCAGUUUGUUUUAAUUACGCUACAGCUUUUCACCAAGUAGCCAGCUAGGCUUAGUUGAUCCAAUUUUAUCACCCCCACGGUCAUCAUCUGAAUCAGUUUCACUAUCAUCACCGGCCAAUGGAAUCACAGGCUCAUGACUGGAAACAGCAGAUUCAGCAGCAGCCACAGCCUCAGGUGUAUGAAGAUCAGCAACACCAAGCAUCAAAUCCUGCAAGAAAAUGAAACCCAAAGUAACUAAUUUAAUCCAUUAUUUGCAAGUCAUGAUAAUAUAAUUGAAGACAGGUAGGUAGCGGGAUUAUAUGUAUACUGACCAUUUCAAUAACUUGGGAUUCAUUUCCAGUUAACUCUUCAAUAUUAUAAUUCUCAGGAUGGUCCUACAUAAUUUUUAGAACUUAAUUUAUAAGAAAAUAGAGGAAAAAAAGUAUAAAGAGGGAAAAACAGUGAAAAUUAUGGAUUCAAUUAGGAAUCAAGGUUUAACCUUUGCAUCAAGUUCCAGCCGCUUAUUAGCUUCUGACAUCACUCCUAGGAAGUCUCUAACCUUCCCUAAAACUGCACAAAUAAUAAAAUUUUAUGUCAGGCUAGGAUUUUAGUUAAUUUUAUUUUAAUUCAUCUUGAUAGAGUUUGCAAUAUUGAAAAAGUAACUACUUAAUGCUAGAAUAUAACUAUGUACUGUAAUAUACACCUAAUAAAACUCAACAAUGAAAUCUCUGAGAAAGAAAGGUAACAUUAUCUCAUUGUCUGAUAUAUUCAUAUUAGUAUUUCUUCAAACCAUAAGUUUAAGAAUCUUAAGGGAACAACUACAUAGAUAUAAAGUUGUAAUACAAUUACAAAGUGCAUCAGAACAGGCAGAGAAAACCCAAUUUGAUUCAUGGGAAUAAGCCCAGGGAAAUAAAAGAGAGAUUUUGCUGUCAAGGAUGAGUUUAUAUUGGAUCACCAAUAUGAAGUAUAAGAUUUUGAACUUUGAUUUCCCUGCUUAAACUAUUUCACUUGUAAGAAUAGCCUCUAAUACAGUCAAUCAGUUUUGCAUAAAAUACAAGUGCACAAAAGCAACACAGUUGCAUGAACAAAUAAGCACCACAACAAUCAUGUUAGAAGUAUAAUAUAAAAAUAAUUCAUGUAUCUUCACCCAACAACACCUUAAGCUUUAGAAUAGAUGGUUCAUGGCAUGGUAUUAAGAAUAUCUAUCACUAAGCAGUCUAUAGUUAUCAUGGUCUCAAAUUGCGGUCCACAACUACAAUGGCUAGUUAUCAUGGUUUCACAUUGCAGUCCACAACUGCAAUUGCUGACGCAACAUAAUGGGAUUUUGAAAUCACCACAUUGGCAUCAAGACUGCAAUUGUGGCCGCAUCAACCGGCAUUUGUUUGUCCACAUUUUCGCGAUGCAGACCAUGAUAGUUAUUGCCUCCAAUAGUCCAAUUAUUCUAAUAAAAUGUGGAAUCUAAGCACAUUGAAGGUCUGUGCAAUGUUCACACAUGAAGCCUAAUGAACUUAGGUGAGAGGCAUGUUAGAAGUAUAAUAUAAAAAUGUUUAAACCCAAUAGCUUAAACUUUUAGAAUUGUUGGUUCAUGAAAAAUAAUACAAUCAAUAAUUACAUUACAGAAAAGCUUUAAAAAAAACAGAACUUGAUUAUUAUAAGCAUUAGCAUAGGUUCUGCUUUAAGAAAAAUCAGUGUUGGUAAGAGCAGGUAAAAGAUAAAAACUUAAGAUGAAUAUGAAACAGUACGUUGGCUUGGGGGAACUGGGGCAGUCUUGAGUGACCCAUUAGAGGGUAUUCUCUUUGAUUCUCGUUUAUUAUCACAAACAAGAAGAGCAGAUUCUGCAAAAACAAAAGCAACUUCAUGAUUAGAGAAUCCAACAAAAAGGAUAGGAAAGACAUUCAAAUGGAGAAGUGUAGAGAGACCUGUGGAUGAAAAGGGUAAGUCUUUGUGCUCAAACUGAAGAAGCUCUUUGCUCCUCUCUGCCAUGCUUCACUGUAGUGUAUACACCACCUUGUGCUUUCACUCUAAACGGCGGCAUAAUAAAGCCUGAUAUAAACUAUGAAGUUAUGGGCUUUUUCCUUCUUGAGACUCUGUUGUGGAUUGACAAAAAUAAAAUAAUGAUUUGAUUGGGUUUGAGCUUGAAAAUAUUGUUGACCAAAAAACAAACUCGAAAAUAUUGAAUUCACCGAAAAUUAAAAGCUUGAAAUAUUAAAAGUUUUCUAAUACAAAUAUUUUUUUUAAAGAAAUAAUUGUUUAGGUUGAGUUUGUUAUUAAUAUUAUCUCGUAGAAAUAGAGUUAAGGUUUAAAUAUAGAUUUUUUAUUUUAGACGCUAAAUUCUGUAUCAAUUAAGAUUAAGAUAGAUAUAUUUAGAAUAAUGUUUAGUUGACAUACCAAUUUCACCUCCACCUUGUGAGAUUAGAUAGAAUUGAGAGAGAAAUGAAUGAUAUGAUUUGUGAUGUGACAGAAAAUGCAGAAAAAGAUAGAAAGACAAAUAGGUGAAAAUGAGUUAUUUUCAUGAGAUUCAACAUCAUCUAGAAUCCAAUCCAAAAAUCUAUUAUACUGAAAACUACUACUAAUUGCUCUAACAUCUCAUACCCGCGAUGUGAUUACGUAGAAACAACUACAAAUAAGGUUGUGUAUCUAUGAAACAUUUUGGGCAGUUGUAAACCGCCACUAAUUGCAAAACUAGCACCUGCUAAAUUUCUAUUUCAGUGCUUAAAAAGCAUAAAAGAAUAAAUUGUCAAAAAAUAAUUCUUUAAUCGUGAUAUAUUAGUCAACUUAAUCCUUACUUGAAAAACUUCAACGAUAAAAUAAGAAUGGCUUGGUAACUAAAAAAAUAUUACUCACGGGUCUUCAUUGCAAUAUUCAUCAUGAUGAACUGGUGUAAAUGUUUGUAUUAUCUUGUAAAAUAAUUUGUCUUUUCACAAUGAUACCAGGAGAUCUACGUUGUACUUGUAAAAAUGUUCUAGAAGAAGUGAAGAAUUAUUAUUAGAAGAUGAGUAAUGAUUAUAUUUCACCAUUUUUCCAAAAAAGAAUCCAUUUGGUACAACUGGCUCAAUGUCCCAUUCACCCAGCUCAGAGUCCUCCUACCCUCCACUGUCUCCUUCAUUCAUCUAAACUAUUAUCCGGCUAAUUUUUUUUUUUUGUUUAAUUGACUUGUUUUAAAUAUUGAAUGUAGAUCUUCUAAUUGGAUUGUUUAUGUUAGUGUGUAGAAUCAUCCAAUUAGGAAUUCCUACUCUUAUUCUAUUUGAGUAUGUAUAGUUUUACUUGCCUAUAGUUCAAGUGUUUCACACUUAUUUUAUAUCAAAGAUAAUCAUGUUUGAGUAAAAAAUAUUAAAUUAUUUACUUCGUGUGUUUUAGCAUUUAAACAUAGUAGCAUCUUAUCAAAAGAAUCUAAACAUAGUAGCAGCUUCUUUAGAUAGUCAAAAAGACAGGUUAAUUAUAAUAUAGAAACUAGUUUCAUCGUCGGCGCAUUGAAAUUUGUAAAAUCACGCUGUGGUGGCUCUAACACUAAAAUAAACAUGCGCAAAGACAUUUUCCAUUUCUAAAAUGCGGAUUCCACACUUUAUUUAAAGUGAACCUAACAUACAACUCGGAUGGUUCCACGUCAAAUGCUUCAAUAGUGCGUAUUUGCCAAUACGACACAUUGCUGUUGUAGGAAUUACGUGCGCCUGAGCGUUGUCCAUUGCUAUUCCAAACAAGCACUAAACGUGAAACGCUCGACAUGCUCAAUAGACAACUCCAAAGUUAAUAAUGACCAAAAAAAAGUUAUGUAUCGAGCAUCUGUACUCUAAUGUUGUUCUUAAAAGUUAGAAUGUGCUUGUCACUAAGCUGGAACCUGGAGUUUGGAGAGAAUAAAUUUUAGGAUGUUAAACAUCAAGACUGAGAUAUCAAAAAAUGGGUGUUAAGCUAAAAUUACGAGCACCACGACUCUCGACACCAUGGUGCAAAGGUGAGUUCUCGACAACAAGGGUUAUGGCGAAACCGGCAACUCAGCAUACGGUGUCCCUCAAAGUCAAGUUAGUGAGAGCUAUAUCUCGACAAACUCAGCAGAUGAAGAAAUCUCGACCAUCUUAAUGGAAGAGGCAGUUACCGAGUAACAAGCAACUACAAGCACGUGCAUAUACCCACGAUGCCACGAAUAGCAACGGUUGCCCACGACUCAGAACCAUCCACGCGGUAAUAAAGUCACGUGCGCGAAGACCACCGGCUAAACGUGGGGCAUGGCGCCAAAAUUCAAAACCCACGAAGCCAUCAUGCAUCCAAGAAAAACCGCCAAGAACGUGGGCAGGAACAGCACUAUAAAUAGAUGAAGCAGCAGCAGAAAGAGGGGUUCCCAACUCAAAACUCUGAAAAUUCACCAAAAGCUCUAAACGUCCGCAUCAAUGAGACUCAGAGAGCAAAACGUGAUGAUGGAGGAGUAUGUUGCAGAACCAACACUUUAGUUUUCUUGCAUUUAAGCUUGUUAAUUCCCCAGUUCUUUUAUGCAUUUCCCUGUCGAGAUCCUUAUCUCUUGUAGUUUUUAUGUUAUUUUGAUAUAUGUGAUUCCUUUGUAAUUGACCCGUGUUUAAUGAAAUUCAGUUCUGUUUAAACCAACUUGGUGUUGUCGAAAAAGCAUUUACACACACAAUACUUUGGCAAAGCGUUUUCUCAAAAGGACCCCGAAUCUAAACUUCCUUUAGUCGAACUAAGAGGAUAUUUGUUUACCAAAAAACCACGUAAACAAUGGGAAAGAAAUAAGUUAGAUGCUAAAAUAAUAUGAUAAAAAAUACAUAAAAAAUAAUACACAAAGACUAGUGAAAAGGAAAUGAAAAGAAGUUGUUGAUCUCAAUGAAUGAUCUAUUUAUGAAAAAAAACAAAAUAGUGGAGUACAUUAUGAAUAUCCAGAACUGCAUGAUGACAGAGUCCCCACCCACUACUUCAGUGGAAGUAGCAUGCAUCAUAAUUCAUAACCCCACAAAAUUGCAAUUAUCAAUUAUGAGAUGAGAUCACUCUCUUCAAAGUCCAAUUAUACACUACACGUAUAAACAAAACAUACAUAAAAAUCGAAUAAAAACACAUAGAUACAGCCAUCAUCAUCUACCCCAAAAUUAACUACUAAAUAUAAAAAUAAAAAUAAAAAAUUAAAAGCUUGCUCUCUUCAAUGAAGUGAGAGUAACAGCAGAACCCAACGGUGAAGUUCCCACUUGAAUCUCAAACGAAUCGUAACGAAGAAACAACUCCACCACCAACAACCUCGAAACCAGUGUCACAAAAUCCUUCCCAGCACACUGCUUGUCGUUCACCGUCGGAGUUGCCGUCUCCGGCCCAUUCGACCACAGUACAUGUUUCAGCAGCUUCUCCCCCUCCGCCCCCAUGAACCUAUCUCCGACGAACUCCUCCGCCCGCUCAAAUAUCUUCGGAUCCUUCGUCGCAAACGGUUGGUACCCGAACAGCAUCUCCCCUUUCUUCACGCGAAACGCGUGAUCAUGGCUCUCAAUCACCAUGUCCUUUCUCACCCGCCCGAAUUGCAACGGCACCGGCGGGGGCUGCCCGCAAGGAACCAUCACCACAAACUCCGGACCUCUGUUGCGAGGUCCGAGUGAAGCUUGACCCCUCCUCUUCCGAUCCACUUCAGAACGUUGGGGAAGAACAGCUUCAUUCCACCCAACGAAUUGAAGCAGGUGGCGAAGAGGAGGUUGUGGCAAGCUUCUUCUCUUGAAACGCCUAGUCGCUCGGCUUCGUCGAAGAUGAAGCCCGAGCUCUGGUAGAAGAAGUUGUAGAGUCGUUGGUAGUCUUUCUUGAUGAUUGAAGCAGGGAGGCGGAAAUUGCGGAGGAUUUGAUCCUCAAUGAGGCUAGGGAGGCCUAAUUUGAGAACCGGGCUGAGCUGAAACAGAAUCCAUUUCUGUAUCAGCUUCGGCCCGUCCAGGUCGAGUUCAGUCUCAGCCGGGUUCGCUCCGAAGAGUGACCUGGCCAAGAAAUUGAACGCGGCCUGGUCGUUCGCUUCACCGAAGCUGACUUUACCGUUCUUCGAAAGCUCCUUUUCAAGACUUUCGAAGAGCUCGGUGAAGGCGAUGUGGAACUCCGGAAUGACGUGUUCGCGGCGGGAUUUCAAGAGGAAGAACAUGAGGCGUUUGAGCUGGGCGUGUUUGGGCUCCGACGGGUCGAGGUAGGAGAGGACUCUGUAGCCGCCGGUGAGCUCGGUGGAGGGCAUGAAGGUGCCGGUGAAGACGUCGGUUUUGUCGACUUUCUCGGUGUCGAAGAGGGUGGGGAAGCUUUUUCCGUCGAGGAGGACGACGACGUUUGGGUUCUUGGCGAUGAGGGGACCUGGUGGGACGUUGGUGCGGAACACCGUUGACUGGUACUUUUGGAUUCGUUUCUUGAAGAACUCGUCGCGGCCCUGGUUGUAGAAGUAGUCGACGCGGUCCUUGUAGGGGCCGAUCAAGGGGAUGCCAUGGUCGCCGGGGAUCUUGCGGAUCGGAAGCUUGGUGGGCUCCGGCGACGACACAGACACUGAUGGGACUGAGAUCGAUGAGGGUUUUUCUGAAACAGAGGCUCUGAUGGGGGAAACAGAGAAAGGUUUGGUGGGUUUUCUUGUUGAUGAUGGAAAUUGUAGUUGAUGGAAACAGGAAGAGGAAGAAGAGGGGAUAGUAGAAGAUGCCAUCAUCUUAGGUUGUUGUUGUUGUUGGGUUUAGUGUUUGUGGAUCAGUAAGAAGAAAAAUUGAAUAAUGAUUUUUCAGCUGAGGUAGAUUUUGUGGUAGUGGGUAGUUGAUGAUGCAAUGCCAGAAAGGAGUUGAAUUGGGUGGUGUUUUUAUAGAGAUGUGAAUUGAAUGUGUGUAUAUGUGUGUAUGGAGCUGCUGACAAUUGAAGAGGAGGGUGGGUCUUUUAUUGACCUGAGAAAUGGAGACUAGACUAUUCAAUCUUUGAUGGAAUGGAAUCGUGAUAUUUGUGCACAAUGGUUCACUUUCCUGCUAUGUUCCUUUCAUGCUGUUAUUAUUUUAUGAUGAAAAUUAGCUUCCCUUUAAAUUGACUAAUUGUGGGUGUUGUACUAGUUUGUAAUUUGUCCAUAGAAAAAUAUAUAAUGUAGGUAUGAGUGUAUGACUAUAGAAAGUGUACAAAUCUCAAAUAGGCAGACACGAUCACAAGAGAUAACAAUUAAGGACAAAACAUAAUUAUAAAUUGUAACCCUUAAUCCUAAAUUGAGAUUGGUGGUGGAUGACUUUAGAAGGCUUAUCUAGUAGAAGGGAGCUGGAUUGACACAGUGGGAGUAUACUUGCAAAAACGCUUAGGUUAACGAGAGAGUGAAAAGAAAACUUCAAAGUUUGCCUAAUGCGUAAUGCUUAAGUUAAUGAAUGAUUGAAUCUAUAUUUAUAGAUUUGGUGACGGUCAUGUUCGUGAUUUGGAGUCUUUUAAAAAGCCUUACAAAAGGUCUUAUGGGAUGAUGGUUACCUUUGGAUGACCUUGCAAUGUGUUCGUUUAAUUAGUUAGAACCCACUCGGACAACACUAGAGUGUAAUGUUUCUUAACUAAGUCAUCUCGUCCACCACUAUGAUACUCGUUUGAUUGCUAGACGUUUGGGCCGACUAAGAUGCUAGUUGACCUUGUAACUUUUUGAGUUGGCUGAAGUAUGAGCCCUCACAGCUUGACAUGUAAUGCAAUGCGAUGUUAAGUUAUAUUUGUUCGGCUGAAUACUGGCCAUUGAAAAUAUUCCAAUCCGAGACGAACUUUUGGUACCUUUCAUUCUUUUUGGUUGACCAUAAAUUACUUUGCUUUUUGUUCGAAUUUUAAACUCCGAAUUCCUCAUAACAUAGCUUAACCAACUUGAAUUUCGAAUGUUGUAAUUUAAGAAGACGCACGCUCCAACUAUUAUAUCUUUAAUCAUGAUUACUUGUCAUAAAGCCACAACUUUUAAUAUGAUAAUUUUUCCAAAUUAUGUGCUCCCCUAGAUUAUACCAUUGGUCACAUUCUUUUAAUUUAUUUUUUGAACUUUCAAAUUGGUUUGGGGAGGGGAGAGGGGAAGAGAAUUCCAUAAAAACAAAGGCUCUUUUGUUUUGGAAUUAAUCAACCGUACUUAUGCAAAGAUUAAAUAAUACCUUGGUAACAUAUUUUGUAAGAAGAGUAAAUUAAACUCCACUACCUUGAGGUUUCUUUAUAUGACACUAAACUCCAAACUUACUCAAAUAUUAUUUUCCACCCCAUUUUUUGUUAAGGAAUAUUGUUAAAAAAAAUUGUUAUCUACUUGAUUAAAAUGGGGUGGAGUGACUCGAUGAGGAGAACGCUUCAAAUAAACUUGGGUUCAUUAAUUUGAACAUUCCUCUCCAUAGAUUAACAAUGUCGACUCAUCCAAUUUUCUUCCCUGAAAAGACUGGCCCUGCAGAGGGAAUGAUGCUCUUCUUCAACACAACGUCUCUUAAGCAAGUGACAAGCUUGAUUUGAUAGUCAUGAAAUUUGUUUGUCAUUCCCUAAGAAUGGCUCAAUAAAUAUGCUCUUUCGCCUAAUCCGAAUAGGAAAAGGGAAGACUUGACCCUUGAAUCUUAGGAGCCUAACGGUAUGGGAUUUUGAUUUCAUGAAGAAACUUUUGGACUUUGAGGAUGUGGACAAGACACUCUCGAGUAAUUUUCCUUUUGACUCUUUUCAAGACGUUGGGCCUUCAAAGGUCCUAAGUAUGAUUACAUAGCAGGCGUUAAGGACUGCUUCUACUUCUUUCCUUCUUAAUAAGAUGGUCCUUGCUCAAUUUGAGCGGGACCUUUAUGAAAAUGCCUCAAAAUAUCUCCAAAAUAGAGAGGAAGUCAAGAAAUUAAGCCUAAAUUAAAGCUCGAGGAAUUCGAAAAUGAGAGGGAUAACAUGAUCAAGGAGAUUGAAGAAUUACAUUCCAAGAUCAAUCCCCUCAAACUCUUUGUAGAAGAACUAAAUGUUCUAAAUAUGAAUCUAAGGUUUCCUCUCUAGAUAACUCCUUAAAAGAAAAGGAAGUACAAUUGUCUCAUCUUCAGGAAGAUUAAGACUCCAACAUGGGAAAAUUCCCAAAGUUGCGGAAGAAAAUGAAAAUGCUCUUUCCCUUGCUCAAGCUGAGAAGCAUAAAAACGAGAAGUUGCGAGCAUCUUUCGAAAAUGCUAACACACUAAUCAUCACCCUUGAUACCAUUGUGUCUUAAUAAUGUUUUGAAGUGACUUUAAAGACCGUUGUUGAUCAGCUAACCAUCCUAACCCAUAGUCUCAAAAUUGAAGGAAUCUCUUGAGCUAGGGUCCGAUAUGUAGACAUACGAGUUUCAUGACAUUAAGUCAACAUAUUCAGAUUGUGGCGGUUCACCACAACCUACAAAGUAUUUUAAAGUUAAACAUUGUAUCUCAAUGUGUUUGAAAUCGUCAAGGAUCAUGCAUAAUUUUUCAUGCAGGACCCUUAAUUUAUGGUGAAACGUGUAGUGGUAAAACCUCUACAAUGAUAUUUUUUUAAUACUUUGCCAAUUAUAACGGUAAAAAAUUGCCACAGUUUGAAUAUAUAUUUACCAAAAUCAAUAUUAAAAGAUAGAAAUAUUGCAAGAAUGUCUAGAAUUUAGAAUUGUUUUCAUUAGAACAUCUUUGAAUGAGCUCAAUAUUUCUUUCAAGAAUAAUUAACUACGGGUCAUAACAUGGAUCUGAAGCCAUAAAGUGACUUAUAGUGAUACUUACAUAACCUUUUUAGAGGGAGUGAUAUGUAUUUACCAACCGGUUCCAAUGUGUUGGUAAUUCAGAUUCAUUUUAUUAAGAAAUGCUUUGUUAUUUGUUAAUCUUUUACAGUUGUAUUUCAAAAUAUAAUAACAUAUUUUUAUGAUUAUCAGUAAUUUUAUAAAAGAAAGAUUUGAUCCAAGCAUCCCAUGGAAGUGCGAGGUCAAAUCAUGAAACGUUGCUUUCUGAAUAGAAGUGCUUGGAUUUGGUAACUUUUUGAUAUCUUGGCACAUUGUUUCAAUCAUCUAGGAAAAUCUUCAUUUAGAUAUGUGGACUGUGGCGUUCAUCUUUAUUCCUCCCACCCUUUCAGCACUGUUUGCAUUUUACCAUACACCAUUACGUUGAGGAAUUAAUAAAAAAUGAAAACUCAAACGUAAGUGCUUUAUCCAGUCAUCAAAUGUUGUUUCCUUCAUAUGAUAGGAGGUGCCCCCAACUUUUUUAGAUUUUGCAAAUGAUCUUGAUCUUUGCUAAUACCGAACUGCUGCAACGAAAUAUCUUUAUCAUUUCAAAUAACAUAAAAUUUUACCUAAUUUUUUUUUACGGUUUUCUGCUCCUAUUUUCUCUUUCCGGGUUGUCUCUUAAACUAAUAAGUAAUAAACCAUAAAAAUUUCUUAAAUCAUUUCACCUUCACUCAUAGAAAUUGAAAAAAUGUAGUGAGGGAACACCAAAUAUUCCUAUGUUUGAGUCAAAAUCAGAAAGUACAACUCAUAACACGCACACCCACCACCCAUGGACCCGUGAUUUUGAUUCUAAUUCUCAAUUCUCAAUUCUCAAUUCAUCAGAAGCUUUCAGUUCUCACUGCCGGCCAAAAUAGUAGUAAAACACGCCCAUCUCUUGUGAACUUACUUAUUAUACUUUUGCUAAUAAACAAAUAAAGGCAUGAGCUAUUAUUCUAGUCUUUUAAGUUUUAAGUAUUAUUUAUUUAAUGACAUUGAAAACUCAAAUGCAGCGUUUCCGACCAGAUUAGCUAUUCCUUCCACUUAAACAAUUCAACUUAGAUUCUAACAAAAUAAGUAGGACCCGUUGUCUCGAUAGAAAAAAGUGGAAAAGAAAUUAAAUAAAUGAUGAUAAAAAUUUGUGGAUUCAUGAGAGCUUUUUUCUUUCUUUCCUCAAAGAGCUUCACUUCACGUCAUUGCCACUAAAGCGGUCCCCAUAUAACAAUUAGAUCAAUUGAUAUGAAUAAACAAAGUGAAAAUGAGAUGUGUGACCAAGUGAGGUGUGUAUAUAUAUAUAGGGAUGUAUUUUAUGAGAAAUAUAAUCUUAUAUUAGAAAAAUUAGAAUAAAUCACGACCGUUAGAUGAUCUAACCAUUGACGGUUAAAAAUUAAAAGAAUUUAAUGGUCAUGCGAUUGUCACAUGAUCACUUAAAAAUGUCAUGUGAUUUUUUGUUUUAAUCUUGACCGUUGAUGGUUAGAUCUAACAGUUGUCUUUUAUAUAUAUAUAUAUAUAUAUAUAUUUGUUUGAUUUUCCUUAAAUCAACACUCUGGAGUGACCCUGCACCAUACCUCUCAUUGCACACUCCGGUAUCGUCAUGACCAUAAUUAUUGGUACUUGGGUGCUUCAGAAUGAGCUCGGGUUGAGUGCAUGACCGUCAUACUUUACCAGCACCCUUCAACAUUCAUUUUGAAGCUAUGCGUAAUUCCCGAACUCAACACAGUCACAUUGUAGACCGCUUGAGCAAUAGCUCGACCUUGCCCGAGGUGGAUCUCGGAAGGCCCGUAAGGCUAGCCCUACGUUAGGAGACCCGCAAAACUGGUAGAUGCACCCUCGACAUCACGAACCCUUGAGAAGUAACCAUCAAAGGCCUUGGUUACAAACACCAGUUUAUGCAAGGUUAGCAACCUAUUCCCUCCCACAAUCAACUACAUCCCAUGACCUAUUGUUUUUCCUUCCCAUGGCCAAUUGGGUCUAUCGCAACUGAUUACAUCCUCCGCGAUUGAUUGCUUGACCUCCUCGCAACCGAUUGUGUUCGCCACAACUGAUUGCCAUCCCGAAGUCACUCACCUCAACUGAGGUUGUAACUUAGCGUGUCUUUAUCCACAAUGUCUCAUCCAAAGUAAGCGACUCUCUUAUCAAGGUAUAUGUGUGACGCUCGAAGUCUUUUGCGUGCGCUAGUGUAUCCUCACUUGUCCGAUUGAACGACGUGCCAAAAACUCCAAUAGUUCCUCUCCAACGUUGUACCUCGUACAUACCAUGAUGCCCAACCUCAAACAAUCCAAUGUCAGAACCUUCAAAAUUCAACCCUAUAAAAGAAAGUGUCAUUGCAUGCUCCUCGCCAGUGUGAUUCGACGAAUGAAGAACUUGAAUCCGGCUCAAAAAAGCACGCUACUAGCGGGAAGAACCACCGUAGUUAACAUUAUUGUUCCAGUAUUCCUCCUUCAUUCAACACUCUUCUACUGGUUCAGCCAGAUUCACUUGAUCAAGUGAUAAAAUGUUAAGUUAGCACGUGAAAUGUGAGUAAUACUUUUUGGAUCUUAGAGUGGCUAGGCCCCUCCAUCAUAUUUGAGACUGAGUGCACCAAAUUGUAUUGUCCAUUACAAUCAAAUAUGCCAUGAUUGCCAAUGUGGCAUUAAUUGUUUUUGCCAAGCAUAUUCGACCAAUGAAAAUAAAAUAGUGUUUCUGUCUCCGACCAUAAAAAGUGCAAAUGCGAAUGAAAUUUGUCUUUGUGCUUCAACAUGGCAUUCAAUGAUUUGUUGUUCCAAUUUGGCAUGAAACAAAUGUGCUCUUUGUCAUUCUAUAAUUGCAUCUCACUAGUAUAUAUUAUUCUUGGUUUUUGAAAGGCUGUUUGGCUGAAAAAGAUAACACUUCCGGCAAAUUCCAAACAGAUAGAAGCACUCAACUUAAAAGAUCUUUCUCAUGAAGUUUGAGGAUAUAACCGUCCUUGAACUUUGAGCGAGUUUUGAAAACAGUCCCUCACCGAAAAAUUAUCUGAAAACCAUCCUCAGACUAUUAAAAAUAAUUUGGACUCAUCCCUUCGACACCCUUAGGUCCGGCCAACGCUUACGUGUUUGUCCACGUCAAUUAAUGAGAGUCCGACUUGGUUUUUUUUUUAAAUAAUAAAUAUUUCCUAAUUAUCUGAAUAACCCUAAACCUUCUGUCGUAGGGAUUGAGAGGAAGAGUGAAGGAGAUCGAGGUGUUAUGGUUAGUCCGACGUGUUUGUACACCCAGAUCGAGCAUUGACUCACCAAUAAACAGUUAAACAAAAUGUUUAGCAUAUGUUUUGAACCUCCGCCAAUAAACAUAAAUUUGUGGCGGUUACUGUAGCAUCUUUAAAUUUAGACAGUUGGUGAGCUCACACUCACUUGAAUUAUUAUUAAACCACCAUUCUCCUUCUUUCUCCCCACUCCCCUAAACCCACGUUCUCUGUUCUACCAUUGUAAGCUCAUACCUCGACAAGCACCCUUCAUCGACGUCCCUCUCCUCUGCUUUUGUCUGGCUUGUUGCAAUGUUUGAAACAUCAUCGCCCAAAUGUCUUCAUCCAGAUUUGAAGGAGCCAACGACAAGGAAACCAUGGACUCACACGCUCAUAUCAACUCAUCCACCCGGAAGUCGUUGCCACCAUCAACAAUCACCAUUGUGUAACAAUCAUCAUGUAGAUCUAAUAGAAAAACAAGUAAAGCUAAUCAUGUGAUGACUUCAAACAACCCUUUACGUAUGGAGCAAUGCCAACGGAUUCCCAUACAAGACUGAAACAGGGUAAGCUCAUCUCAACAUCUUUCAAGUGAAGGUGUGAAGCCCCUCUUCUCAUCAGAUUCUCCUACUCAAGAUUAGAGUCCUUGCGACAAUGAGUUUGCCAAGUUCGGAAAGAUGGCGAAGGCGCAUUAGGAAGGAGUUAGAAAACAAAUACAAGGAUAGGAAGAUAGAUGUUGGCCAGACCGGAAUGUGAAAUACAAGGGUGAUGGCUAUGCCAUUUGCACAAGAAGUUGCAGUGGUGCGGGCGGAAGACAAUAGGGCCAUCUGAAGAAGUUGUCACAAGGGUUAGAGGAAGGAUAGAAAAAGUCAUUGGGUGAGUGAAAAUGAAUUAGGGUUAGAGAAGGUAGUUUGGUUUUUUUUCUUUUUUUCCUUCAAUCUCAAUUUCAGUCAUUCAAUAUUUUAAGAUUAUAUAAGUGUUGAAAAUGUCAUCUUGCACAUAUAUUAUUUAAAGACUCGUAAACGGUAACCUCCACCACUAACACUAACAUUAGAUAAAGACUCAUUGUUUUCUAAAUUUGUCCACCUCUUCUAGAUACUUUACUUAGGCAUUGUCAUUCAAUAAAAGCAACAAAUUGGCUUCUUCCAAAUCAGAGGACACUCACCCGUCUCAAAUUCCUUAUCAUGGUAAUAACAUAAUCAUCCCACUGACCAGACAGACAUCGGCAUACACUUCAAGAUAAAAAGUGAACAAAACUUUCUUUUAUAAAUUGAGAUAAAAAUCCGUUCACAUCACACACAAAUGGUAUACAGCCACACUUUCUCUUUCACAACUUCGUAAAAGAACUUUUGAAGAGUGGUUAUUUCUCCAAAAAAGCUAAAACAAUUGUGCUCAAUGCUAAUAUGCUAUGCCAUGAAAGAUAAUCGCCGCUUUAUAAAUCUUUAAAAUGCAUGUACAUAAGCAACAUAAUUAUCGAAAUGCAUUAGGAUGCUUGUUACAAAUUAUCAAAAUUACAAAAAAGGAUGCACUUAAUUGGAUAAAUAAAGUUACAUACAGUGGUAGAAAAGAAAGAUUCUACCUCCUAUAAGAUGGAAAGGAAGAAAGAAAGAAUACAUAUACAUAGAUACAUACACAAAUAUCUGUUACAUGGAAGCUAAAAGGUCUCUCAUCUCCGCUACAGAUGGGAUUGUCUCAGUAGGGUAAAUCUUAGCCACAAGUUGGGCAAAACUUUCGUACUUAUCAAGAAACUCCUUCUGCAAGAAAUUUAAGAAAAUGUUCAGUAACACAUUUUCUUCAAUAUUUUUACUAACAGCUUUAACAGGUUUUUAUGUUUUAAAAGAAGUAAUGAAUGUCCUACUAGGUGUUUCCAAGAGUUUAAAUUUUACAAUCUGUUUUCUCAGAAAACAACAUAGUUGUGAACAUGUGAGACCAAGUGGCGGCACCAAAGCAGCAGUUGAAAACAAUAACAACAACAAAAUCCUUAUCUCACAAUGUGAGGUCAACUACAUGGAUCACCUAAAACCAUUGCGCUCAACCAAAAACCAGAUUUUGUUAGAUAUUAUUGACCAUGAGGUCACUUUUAACAAUAUCUUCCAAUGUCACCUUUAGCCUUCCUGUACUCAGAAACAUGUUAUUAACCCUUCUCGCUAAUGCCUCCAAAUGAUUUCUUUAUACAUGUAUAUGUAUCCUUUCAAAUUUCAGUGAUUUUAAUUCUGAUAUAUCAGUGUAAAUUUCCACCCCUCUGCCAUCUAUUCUUUAGCCAUUUUAUUAAAAGAGUAUGACCACUCAAGAGUAACUAAUAUUGUAGAGGAAACAUGUUCCCUCAUAACAUAUCAAAAUCAAAUUCCAUUUAAAACACGAGCUUUGGUUCUUUCUUACUAGGAGGUUGACCAAUAGGAAUUAAGUACAGCUUACCUUGCAUUUGUCCCAUAAGGAAGGUAACAGUUCCUCGGAAGUUAAAUUCUUCUGUAGUUUCUUAUACAUAGCCGUAAUGGAUUUGUCAACCUAGGUGGAAGAGCAAAGAAAUUAUUCACCUUGUAAGCAUACCCCAGUGAGAAGGCUUUCUAUAAAAGUAAGAGUCACCUUACCCCAGAUAAACUGGAUUUUAACAUCUUCCGUAGAUCCAUUUUUGACAGCCCAAGCUGGAAAGGAAUCUGAAAUUGGUGCAAAAUAUCAGCAUUUUCUGAAUGUCGAAAUCCAAAUACCCAGAAGUUCAAGGUAAAAUAGUUUUACAAUCAUAUAAGGUCAAUCUACCUAUAAAGUCCACCAGUAAAAUAGCUUUAAUAUAGUGUUAGGGUCAAAUUGCAAGGUAUUGGACUUGCGUCCCACGUUGGAAAUAUGAGAUUCUAGUGUGGGGUUUAUAAAGCCUUGACUCUCCAACUACAAUGACUAGCUUUUGUGGUCUGGUAUGGUUCACCCAAGGUUCUUAUCAUUUGGUAUCAGAGCCUUCCAUCAUAUUCUCAAACUGCAAACCAGCGGCGUGGGGGUGACACCAACAUUGCAGUGUUUGCCCAGGGCAAGUCAAAGGGCUAGUGCACAGCUAGCCCACUUGGGCGCCGAGGCUACGGAGCGUGGUGGGGUAUUAGGAUCCAUUUGCAAGGGUAUGAGACUUGGGUUCCACAUUGGAAGUAUGAGAUUCUAGCUUGUGAUAGGGUUCCCUCAAGGUAAUCAAAUAGACACCAUUAUGGAAUUAUAAUUUUACAUCACUCAUUAGCGUAUAUUCAUUGAUAGAAAUUCCAACACAUAACAGAGGCAUGCUAAAGAAAGUGCGAGUUUUUCAGGAGUUGUGAUUCAUAUUAAGUACCACUGGUCAAUUAGAUAAAGUAAUUUGACAAAGUGAGCUGCCUUGGAUUGCUAUUUCAACUGGUUUAUAAAACAGAAACAGAUUGCAACUAGUUUGUUUGAUAAAAGAAUUCUAAAUAUGAUGAGAUACUGUAUAGCAAGAGGCUAUGAAGGAUUACCAGACACCACCAUACAAACUAACCUCUUCAGGUGCAACAGUGAACAUCAAGUCCUCAAUCCUUCGUGCAAAUUGGAAAAGACGCUCAAAUUGCUUACCAAGGCAAUAAAAGUACAGUGAGUUGGAUCCUAAAGGAUAUCAAAUCAAGUGCAGUUGGGAAAAAAGACCAUAAAUAGAUAAUAAAUACUCACAUAGUAGAUAAUCAUGCUAAUAUGGCGCGUACAAGCUUGUUCAUAGGCUUCACUAGCUUGAUGAUAAAACUUGGCCAAAGUGGGCACAAUGUUGGCAAGGUCAUAUAAACUGUGUAAAAUGAACAAAACAAUAAUUGAAAACUGAGAGUUGUCUUCAUUUGCAAAAUCAGCUUAAUGUAAAACGAAUGAAUUGAAACGGCCAUUUAGUGGGAAGGGAAAAACUUGCCUAUUCUGAAAAGCGGCAUAGUUCUCAAAAAGAAAAAUAUCUGCAUACUUUGGAUCUGUUUGAGCAAUUUUUUCCAAAGUCGCAAACAUUACACUAACCUGUCAUGCAAAAUUGGCACCAAAAAACAUUAUGCCAACAGUUACAUGGAAAAUUGGAAAAAGUAAUAAUUAAGGGCGUCUUUCCACCAACUCAGAAAAAAAAAGGAUAAUCAACAAAUAACUGAAAUUAAUCAUAGUGACCAUAAACAUACAACAAAGACCAAAGCCUUUCUCCACUGGCCACAUGGAUCAAACAACAUCCUAAUGCAUGAGAUUCAAAAUGAUUAAUUUUAAAGUUUAAGUUGAAGAGAAGAAACUAUUGCUCUCAUGUUUUUCAAUAAGCCUGGUCUAAUAAGAGAGGAAAAAAAUAUUGAGAGAAAAGAAACAGUUAUAUAAGAAGUUCUUAUAGCAAAAGAAACUAGGAAUCCCUUCAAAACCAUUAUCAUAAACCCGUAUAGGUGCAAGGACAACUAUCCUAUCCAAAAGAAUAUAUUCGCGCGUAGAAAGCACUGCCUGAGCAUUCGUCGAAUUUACCCUAACCAAAACCAUUAGCAUAAGCCGGAGUAGAUGCAAGGACAACUAUCCUAUCCAGAAUAAUCUAUUCCCAGGUAGAAAGCACUGCCUGACAUUCUUGCAAUUCACUCUAACCAAAUGUUCCCAUAGUGCCUGCAGAAAGGGCACAUCUCAAAGAUACAACAUCCUUUCUUCUCCCACAAACCAAAAAUAGGCAAAGUAAAAAAAUGAAGUGAGAGAGAAAAAUUAUAAUGCCUACCUAUAAUCCCAAACUAACACAUCCUAGCCACAUCACAGUGCAGAAAGAGAUAAGUGAAGUUUUCGAACUUAAGUGCUGGAGUUCUCAGCAAGAUCAUGAAACAUCAUAAAAUAGAGCAGUGUUUUAAAGGAGUCACUUACAAAUUUUGUGUAUGCUUGGUCAACCAAAUCCCUAGACUGUCCCUGGAUGUACUGCUCCAUUCGAGUUGCAAGGGUUGCAAAUCUAUGCAAAACAAUUAAUAAAGAAUUUAACAUCAAUCAUGAAGAGACUUCACAGUUGAAAAAAACACAAACAAGAAAGCAAACAGUAACAGCUAAAACUUCUAAUCACUACCUAUAUAAAAAUCAUUCUUUUCAUAUAUAUCAGGAUUCGUUGAAAUAAUUUUAAAUAAUCUGACCAUUAAAUUAUGCUUGAUUAUCACGGUAAUCAUAAACCUAUGUUCCUAACUUAGUAUAACUGGCUAGCAGACAACUGUACUAUCAUUCAAAAAAAGAACGUCCAUUUUUCUGGAGAAGGGGGGAGGUGGAAAAUAAAGAUCCAUUUCACCUGGGAAUGUAGGAUAGGACACCCAUUUGGCGAACAUUGCGUUCAUUUCUUUCAAUUUGGUGGCAAGCUUCAUCAACAAACUGUAAAAAGAUUUCCAAUUAUAAGAAUUGGGUUAGCAUCUUAAUCUUCCAAAUGUAUUUCGCAAAGUUGUGCUUAUCAUGAUGCAAGCCACCUACACGACUGAACUGUGCAGAUAUCCGCGACUCCAGGUCACCAAGCAAAAGACGUACAAAUCCUGCAGCAUCAGCUUUCUGACCAGAGAGAUAGCGUUCUGUUAUUCCGUGCAUUGAUAUGCAGCGUAAAGGAUCAAUUUUGUAUGCCCAGUCCACAACAGCAUAGAAGUCUUCCUGAAAUCAUCCAAAGAGGUUUUAUAGCUGUAGAGUCUAUAGUUUUUUAAGACACAAAAUCACAUCCUGCAACUUAUGAAAAUCGUCGUAUCAUAAGGAACAGUAGGUUGUUCAGUCUGAUGGAUCACAACAUCAAAUAGAUUAUAUUCAGCUUAUUAACAAUCCAAUAAUGCUGGUCUUCUAAAGGCCUAGAUCUCAUUUUAAAUUUCCUUCUACAAAUAGAGUUGGUGCAGUCUAGCUUCUAGUUUGUUAGGUGUCCUAAUACACCAUAUGUAGUCCACUCUACAAUCUACUAUUAAGAGUCUCAGUUUUUAACUUAUCCCUGAUCUCUUUUGUGUAACUUAUCCACAGCAUAAUUAUGUUAAUUAUGCCACACAACAUUUAGCUUGUCUUUGGUAUUCUGCUCUGGACUUUAAUGUACAGGCAUUGGUUUACCUUGUUAGUUGUUACAUGACUAAAUCUCUUAGUUUCUAAAUAUUUUAAUUUGGUAUUAAACUUAAUCAGAAGAAGGCAAAUACCUCUACCACUAACAUACUUAUAAUGUAACAUUCAGAAGAUUCAGAUCCUUCAUCUCACAAAUAUCAGGAGCACAAAAAGUAGAUUCACUGGUAUGGAUAGCCUAAAUGGUACUUGAUGGGUUAAAAUUUCCCAAGUCCAGGGUUUAAAUCCUACUAGUAUCUAGAUACCAACAAAAAGUAGAUUCAAAACUGAUGCAAAGCACGGUCUGUACAUACUUGAAUUCCAUCUAGUAAAUCCUGAAGUGACUCAUUCAAAGCGGUAAGCUCUGCAGAAUUAUUACCUACAAAAUGAAAGAAAUUGACAUAUUUAAAAAAAAAAUUAUACAGAUGAAAAAUAAACUAUAAUACAUUCAGGAUAACUUUAGAAGUACAGAUUGGCUAUUUGCUCGAUGUCAGACACAUGUUAUGUACCAGAUUUGCUGUCAUUGUCAUCAAUGUCCAUAAUUCCCAAAUCAUCAUCGUCAUCAUCAUAUCCAGCUUUGUUGCCAUUAACGACACCUCCUGGAGGAACAAGAGUAGGAACUUCAAAGCACAUGAAGUGUGCAAAAAAAGAACUCUGCAAUGUAAACCAUGAAGAAUUAGACAUUUGAAAUAUUUAAGACAAAAUUGUUAUGAAAAAGAAUCAAACUUUCACCUCAUCCACCAGAAGUGGGAUGAAAAUCGUGAGCAUCUUUGCAUAAGCAUCAGAGACUGUAGAAGUGUCGGUAGCAUUUACAUUCUGACCAGAACCUGUGGAACCUUCAAGCCAAACAGUUGGAUUUCUAGAUGCUUUAGUACUAGCACGGAGUUCAUUUGCAAACUCGCGGGCCUGCAAAAGAAUGCGUGAAAAUUUAGAUUCCCCCAAUUCACAUACCGAAGCAUGAAAAUUAUGACCUAGACUUAAAAUAAGAAUUAACACAAAUCUUCUUCUCAUAGACCAAGUUGCAAUCAAAACCAACCGCUCUCACACUAAAGAAGACCAAAUACAUAUAAAGUAGAUCAUGCAGCACUAACAGUGGGGAUCUGCUACUCAGGUGGUUGCAGGGUUCUAGGUUGUCAAAAGCAAACCCUACUCCAACUUGUUAAAACGUGACAGGUAAAACUAUUGUUCCCUGUUAACAACUCUUAUGAAAGGUAGUUCUUGAGAAAAUAUUUGACAAAUUUCUUUUUAAUACAUUAGACAAUUAUAUUAUGACAGGGAACAAAAACAAAGUUGGUGUUGAGAAGUUCCACAUUGAUUACAGAUAUGGCCAAAAUAGUCUCUUAGAAUUCAGGUUGGCCCAAAACUACCCCAAAAGCUAGCUUCGAGGUGAGGGUUGUUCUACCAUUUAUAAGGGCUUAUUUAGCCAUAUCUCUAGUAAAUGUGGGACCUUAACAACCCCCCCCCCCCCCCACGCCCCGCGCGGGCACGACUUAGAUGGCAAAUUUGAGCUGAGGGUACACUCGCGGGGCGCACCGACAUGUCGGGUUAGGCAUGAGGGAUCGUGUGUUUUGACAGUAAGGAAUAAUUUAAAAAUGUGAUAUUUAUUCUAUCUAGGAAAUUUUAUAAUCCGCCCCCCCACCCAUGAUUUUUUUCCAACUUCUUGUUUAUCUUAGAUUACAUGUAAGUAAGCACAUUAAAUUACGUUAAAAAAAAAGCACAUUAAAUUAAUAGCUUGCCGGAUAUAUCAUAGGUUACUUCACACAAAGAGAAAAGAGCAAGUCAUAGCACAAACGUUAACGCCAGACAAUUAAGAAAUAAAAGAAAAAUGGUAACAGACCUCCCUGCGAAGAAGCAAGUUUAGAGAACUGCAAUAAGCUUUUCUCAAAGGACCCAAGCAAUUCUUGUCAAGACUCUGCAAGCGCACAGAAAGAUGAUUUAGGUAGAAAACAAAGAAAUCACUUACAAAUAUAUGUAUGCAAAUAAAAAUUCUGAGCAGGUGUUGUAGAUCAUCCAUGUUUUAACCUUCAAAUGUUGCAAAAGGCGUGCAUAUGUCCUGCACUUGUACCGCAGGUCCGCAUGAUCAGGCCUCUUCAAUUGUCCCCGCUGUUUAGAGGAAGCAGACAAAUUGGUAACAAUAUAUUCAAUCCAAGACUUCAAAAGUGGCAAUUCUAUUACAAAAAUACAGAAAAUGCCUGAGAAAAGUAACUUUUGUCGCUUAUCAUGAAGUCCACCAGACUGGCAAAGUAAUUUCUCAAGAAUUCAGAAGCUCUCCUGACAAAAGUAGAUUUUAAUUUUUCAAGUUCUGCACGCUUCUCUUUAACCUGGAGGAGAUAGCAGAAACUAGCAUCAAAACAGGUGACUAUAAGGUUCUUUACAUAUUUACCAUAUUGACCAAAGCCAGAGUACUCUCUUUACCAUAUUUUUCCAAAUUCAUAGGACUAUCCAAAUUCUCUCCAACCCAUCAAAACAGUAAAAACUAAUAGAUACAAAAUAUAUGUGACCUUAAAAAAAUUAAUGUUAAUAAUUCUUUUCUAACAAAUACUAGCACCCCAUGCCCAUGAAUGAUUGUUUCCGAAAUGGUUAAAUCAUUAUCAAUGUGCUUUACCAGAUGAUUUUUAACAAGAGAAAAGAAAAGCGAGAACAUACAGCUCUCAUGUUUGCAUAGGAAGGGUCUAGAUUAGGCCCUUCUAGACCACGCAAGGCACUGGUCAACCAUUCACAUGCUUCAACAUUUUGAAGCAUUCGAGCUUCAUCAAAGGAACCACCUGUCAAACAUGCUGCAUACUAAACCCAAAAAAACAUCAUUAAUAAAUACAAGCUAGGUAAGUUCAUCCAGCUUAAACUUGUAUACCAUUCAACUACUGAAGUUAUACCUCAGAUGGAACACGCAAUCGCUCAAGAAGCUUAUCAAGCUCCUCAAUGAGAGAUUUGCUAUUUACUGAUUGCAUUUCCAAGUUGUUAUUGCGGGUUUCUAUCUGGGCAUCAGAAAAGUUAUUAAGGCAAAAUAAAGAGAUCAGCCUUCAUCGGAAGAAUAUCAACUAGAUAAACUAGAGAAGCAAACAAAAACCUGAAGAAAAAAAAUUCAAAGUAGAAAGAAAUUUUCACAGCACCAAAAAAUUGGCUGCCUCUAAGAAAUAAUGUGACCUUAUAUCAACUUUUUAAAAUAAUCAUCAAAUUUAUAUUCAGGUUAUUUUAAACCUAGAAGAAAGAUUAUAUUAAGGGAAAAAGAAGAGGAUCAAAGAAAAAGAAUAUUGUAUAAUGGGAGGUGAAUAAAAUAUCUUCCAAGAACAUUCUCACACUAAAAAUAGUGUCGGGUGAGAGAGAGAGAGAGAGAGUUCAGCUGCACAACAAUGCUUCCCAAUCCCUCACUGUACAAAAACCCUCCUAAUUGAGGCCAUGGGCCAAAUACCAACGAGAUACCGUAAUAACCAUAUAUACCCUUAUAUCUCCAUAACAGAUCAAGAGGCUGCACAAUACCGCCCUAUACACACAAAUUGAACACAAUGUGGCAGUUUUGUGAUUUAAAAUUGAAGACAGAAAAACACACAAUUUUAAAGGUACAAAAUCCCUUACUGAUGCAAUAUCUUCCCUCAUGUGUCGGAGUUUCACAUUGAAUACGUUUAACCAUUCAUCCAUAUCAUCCACACAAUUCGUUGCUGAUUCAAGCCCUUGCAACACCUGCAAGGCACAAGUUAGCAUGAAAAAUUUAUAAAAACACUUUUUUGUCUUUCACAUGAAUCAUACUGAAUUACUAUAAAUAACUAGCGAAUGUUUGGAAGAGCUUUUCUAAUGGGAAUUUGCAGGAGUUCUUUAUCGGAGGUUAUUUUGACUUAUAUUAUGACAUAAGUACUUAAGCAAGUGUGAUGCAGCGGAAGUUGUACUAGGAUUGCAAGCGCAAAUCCCAAAAAGAAGGUUUCUGGAAUCCACCAGAAAGGAAGAUAGCCAGCGCUAAAACCCCAAAAAAAUACCCUGGAAUCCACCAGAGUUUGAGAAAAAUCUCGUUUUAUAAUAAUCAAAAACUUACUAUGGCUCAUGCCUUACAACUGCUGAAAUAGAGAAAUAGGAAAACCCUAAUGAAACUAAAAAUAGUCUAUUCCAAAAUUAAAAGAUCCUAUUCUGAAAAUAAAAAGAUCAUAAUAUGAAAAUAAAAAUAUCCUAAUCAAAAGUUAAUAAAAUAUACAAAUUAAACGACCCUAAUCACAGAAUAAAAAGAUCCUAACCACAAAUAAAUAAAACUACUAAAAUCCUAAAAAUAUCCUAAAAAGCUCCUACAUCAAAGUGUUUGAUUAAAUUUAUAUAAAUGGCGACCUACCUAGAAGCUCUUCUAAGCUUAUUUUAGUAAGCUACUUAGAUAAGCAAAGGAACAAGCGUUUACUGAAUAAGCUCUUUUGACAAAGCUAUCAUGUGAGAAGCGCUAAUUGAUUAAAUGCUUGAUUAAACUGUUUACCCAAACAAACAAGAAACAUGAAGGUUUGUGAAAUAGAGUUGUAUUAUCAUAGGCUUCGCGGUGAUUUGAAGGUUAUUUUUCUAACGGCCGUGAUUUAUUCUCACUUUCUCACAUAAAAACACCAUUCUCAUAAGAGGGGCCUAACGGUCCAUGUUACAAUGUCAAGAUUUAUGAUUUUCGUUUGCCUUCCUUAUCCCAAGUAGAAUAUUGAUUUUGACUACCUUAAGCAUAGCAGCACUAACGGAUUAAAUAACAAUAAUGAGAUACUGUUGCAACUUAAAAAAAGAGGCACGAUUUCUAGUUUCAUCCAGGCAUAAAACCACCAGAUAAAUUGGUUGAUCUCAUAUAAAAUUCAAGAAGCUCAGGUGUUUAAAAUGUUGAAUCAUGGCUUACACAACACAAAAGCUUAGUUCAGUCUAUCAUUCAAAAUGCACAGUAGAAAAUAAGCUGCCAACCAAGGGGCAUGUUCACAAGAACAAAUAACAAAAUGGAAGGCAAUACAAGCCAAACAAAGAUCAUCAACUCAAAGAAUAGUAAUACCUCAUUUAUCAAAGGUUCACUUUCUAAAAUGGCAUGCACGUUAGCUGCUUCCAGAGCCUGGAGUUCUCUCUUCAACCUUUCAGAAAAUUCUUCUGCCUCACCAACACCCAUGACAUAACUGCACAUUCAAAAAUUCAACCCUUUAGUUGUGCACAUUGGUUUUAUGAAAGAUGCGACAGAGCAAAACUGAAUCAUGCACAUCACCAACCGACAUGUUUUUUCCCAUUUGAACUUUGACAAAUAUGUUACAACCAUUAUACUCAACACUUUCUAUUAAUUUAUGAAUUCUCUAUACUAGGAAGCAUGGGUCCCAGUACUACACAAGCUAUGGAUACAAUAUAACAUGUAAACAAGGAUAUGUCAAAUUUUAAAAAUUAUAGGACAUGACACAGCUUUGAUACAACAUUAAAUAAUUUAAAAUGUACAUACAAAUCUUAAAUCAAAACAAAGGAUCAAUAUUUUAAAAGUUAUCACAAGUGAUUCUAGACAUAAUAAAACAUUUAUCUAAUGAUUCUGGUAUUUCCAUUUGAAUUGGUAUGAAAAAUUACAAAAUAAAAACGAGGUCAAAUACAAAUCCGAAAUGUCUAUGAAGUCUUCAACAAGGAUAAAUGUCUAACAUGACCGAGGCUACUAUUUUGAAGUGUGUGUGUGUGCGUGUGCGUGCUCCUUUGUAUAUCCAUCAUAAAAUGAGGCUGCCAAUUUUAUAAGGGAAGACAGGAAGAUUCCCUUUGGUCCUAGAAUUUAAAGAACUCAAUCCAGCAAUUUGCCCAAAAAGUCAAAGUAGAAGAAGAAGAAGCCAUUACUUCUAGUAAACUACUACUUAACACAAAUAUUUAACCUCAAUAUAACUCAAGACAAAGAAGAAUAGCACCUACGUCCCCAAAAGAGCCUCCAUGUCCUCUUCCUCUGCCUGAGAGACAAGUUCCUUCUCAACAUUGACUUUCAACUCUCUCUCAGUCACAGAAGAUGCCACAGGACCACCAUCUUGCAUGUGGCUUUGAGUAGAAACAGCAGAUGUAUUUUCCUGUUUCACAUUUUGUGAACAUAACAAAAUAAAAAAGUCAACUAUAUAAAAUAGUGAAUUGCAAUUAAUCACUGUGAUAAGAAGCUUAGAAAGAGAUAUAACCCAGCUUAGAAAGACUCCUAUGCUAUGUCACCUGAGCUCAGAAGGGGAAAGGGACCUAACCUUUUCUAGGAGAUUACUAAGGAGAAGAAGGAUCAGGGUGUAUUCCCUUCAGUGAGCCCCAUCCCCCUCAAAUUGGCAGGAAAGCAGGGGAAAUGAUUUAUUCAAAUUAAAUAGAAGUAAAUAACUCUGAUCCCCUUUGUUUAACUCAAACUCCUAAACAAGAGAAAGAGAACUCCCCUCUUUCCCUUAUUUAAAGGUCAAAAGAAGGGCUUCAACUCCCCUCUCCCUUCUCUAUCACCCCCCUCCCUGUGUUAGAAUAUAAUAUAAAACCAUUCAUGCGGCAUUUACCCAACAACAUAAGCUUUUGGGAUAAUUGGUUCAUGACAUGGUAUCAGAGCCUCUAUGACUAAAUGGUCUAGAGUUCGAUUCUUGUUGCCCCCAUUUUUCUAAUAAAAAAGUUGAAUUUCAGCACACAAUAGGUGGACCUGUGCAUUGUCCACGCUUCAAGCCCAAGUGGGCUCUUGCGUGAGGGGACGUGUUAGGAUAUAAUAUUAAAUCAUUCAUGUGGAAUUUACCCAACAACUUAAGCUUGUUGGAUAAGUGGUUCUUGACACCCUGUACCCAAAACUUCCAAACGUAGUUAGAGUUUAACAUCCUAUGCUUGAAGUCAUGGACUUGAUAACCACAAAUGAGAGAAGUCACACUUUCACACUCCAUACAAAGUAACAAAUACCAAGUAACAAUUUUUUAAGCAAUUAUUAAAACAGGAAAAAAAGAAAAAGAAAAAAAACAUUCAUCAGAACAGAAUGAUGGCUAUUAGAUUGGAAAGGAACACCAAAAUUAAGUGACUAGAAGACCAUCAUAUGUACCUUAGCCCAAAGAGCCAUCUCCACAACAUCUACACCAACAACCUUAGGAAGGCGGCCCAAAACAUCUUUGCAGAUGGUCAAGAUGCAAAGAAGGAGGCGAUUCCUACGAGUGAAAGGUGAUAGACAUAAUCAGAAAAAUUUCCUCCCCUCAUUCAGAACUCAACUACAAAACUGAAUAUGAUUAGAUUAGCAUUUCUCUCAACAAAAUCACCUGUCAUCAGUAUUGCGCAUUGUCCAUUGAGGAGGAGCCACGCUCUGGCUCCUAAGGUUAUCAAAUCCCUAAUAGAUACACAUGCAUCAGUUCCAGAAGCAAAUGACUAGGAAAACGUUAAAAAACAAACAUCAAAAUAGGGAAUGGUUGCUUCGCUUAUUGCAUCUGUGCCAGAAACUUAAAAAUAUAUGUUACAAUUAAAACAUAAAGAGCGCUUCUAUUGUGGAACUUUACCAGUGUAAAUGUACAUCCACUGGGAUCAUUUGCUAUAACUUCCACUUUUGAGAGGUGCUUUAGCUUGUACAGUUUUGCAGGCUGCAAGUACCAUAAAAAUAAAUGAAAUACUGAACAGGAGGGUCAUGAAUCUUCCUAAAUCGAACACCAAAAACCGAAAAACAACCACAGCAAUACUCAAAAGCUUAAAAGGGAUCUCUAGCUACUCUAUGCAUUUGAUUUAAACAGGGAAUUGGGGGGAUCACUAGCUAAAACACAACAGAGGCUCCAAAAUCAAGCAUAUCCCAAACAAAUAGGAAGAAGAAAAAAGCAAAUUACUUCAAGAACUCCUGCAGUAGAAUACUUCAAAACUUGAAGAAAAGUCGUGGGCCUCUGACCUUUAGAAUUUGCUGCAGGAAAUAGCACUUUGUCACCAACACCAAUACAGAAAUACAACAAUAAAAAAGCAUCACAUAUUGAAAUAACCAUCACUUGAAAGAAAUUGAAUUUUCCAACCAAUCAGUUGAAGAUCCAACAAGCUACCCCACAAAAAACACAAAGCAAAUGCAGAAUUAUACGCUAGGUGAAUUAGUACAGGAAAUCAAAGGCCAGUGUUGACAUCACAUCAGAGAAGUUAGUGAAUGACUUGAAAGCAAAAAUAAAACAUUGACACGCAAAAUCAAAGCAAAUAUGGAGAGGAAUAGGUAACUGGAGAGAGCAAGAACCCUAGGCUUGGCCAUUUGGCGACCAAGCUUGGAAGAUUUUCCUAAGAUCCCAUUGCUCUUGGCGACGCGGAGAGACAAGACGAUCUUCUGCUUUGGAUCCUCAAUUGCAGCCUCGCAAGCUCGCCGGAGUUCCACAUCGUCGGCGCUGGAUUUCGCCAUCUCCGAGAAACACGAAUGAAUGGAAUGGUCUUGGCUGAGUCGUGUUCUGUUCUGUUCUGUUCUAAGUCGCAGUAAAAAAAAGUAGUAACAAACGGUUUUCUCGGUUGGUGUUGGAUUUUAUGUAGCCUGCGUGUGUUCUUUUAUUUUUACUUUUACUGUACUUCAGUUUUAUCUUCCCGGUAAUUACUGUUAGAAAUUCAUAUCAUUUGUAAAAGGCUUAAUUUUUGGUCUCCCACGAAUAACAAAUGUGCAUUUCUGGUCCUAAACGUUUGAAAAUAGCAGAAUCAGUCUCACACGUUUGUCUCCGUUAGCGUUUUUGGUCUCUCCGUUAAAAUUCUAACAGAAGUUACUUAUUGCACCCCCAUUUUACUAUUCUCACCCUCACUAGGACUAGAAAUGCACAUUUAUCAUUUGUGGGGGACCAAAAGUGCAAUUAAGUUUAAAAAAUAAAAAAACCAAGAAACCCAUCAACCACUUCUUCUUAUUCUUUUUCUCCCAAUUCUCAUUUUUCCUUAUGCUAUGUUAUCUGUCCAUACCCAGGUGUAGGUUCAUCAUUAACUUCCAAUUGAAUUGGAGUAAUAAUACAUUAAAAUUAAUACCUAAAAUUUAUGUUGUUAGAAUUGAAUAAAAAGUAACAUAAUAGGUCGCAGGUUUGAAUCUCUGUUAGUCUUCUUCAGAGUGAGAUAAAUGCUAGUCUUUUGUAUUAUAUGCCUUGAAUUAGAACAUCAUCAGUUUCUCACCUUAAAUUUUUUUGUUAGAAAAAAAGUCGAACAAAAAAUCUAUAUAUGUAAUAAAUUACAUAUGAAAAUAUAUAGAGUUUAAUGAAAAUGCACUGACAGUGUAAACCCACUUUACACAGACAUCCAAUAGUAUUCUUGUUUUUUGCCACAUCAGAUUAAUAUUUUUAAGUAAUUUUAUUUAAUUUAAUUAAAAACUAAAAAACUCCCCUCAACCAUUGCGUUGUACAGCACUGCAAUUUUUCACUUCUGCGUGAAACCUCCACCCCUCCACCCCAUGGUUUCCCAUUGUGCAGAGGCUGCUACACAUCCAAUGAUGUUCCUUUUUCAAUUCACCUUUGUGAACCUAUGGAGUGUGGAGUCUCUAAAUUUCAUUUUCCACUCUCUGCCUUCUCUUGUCUCCUCCAAUUUGCCCUUUUCCAUGAGAUCUGCUCUCCUCACAUCCAUUCCAUGUUGGGGGUGGUGGCACAACGACGCUGGCGGUGGGGCGGUGCACUCGUUGGUUUCACUACGGUCUGAUCGAGAGGCCCAGCGGCGGUGCGCGAUGGCUCUAGUUGUGGUUUGAGCGGCGGUGACUCAAGCUUGGGGGCUGGAACAACAAUGAUGAUUGUGAUCCUGCAAUGGUGAGGGUUGAGUAAUCAUAAGAUCUGGGUCAGCGAAGCAUAGAUUAAUAGAUUUAAAGGCAUCACAGUGAUGAUAUUUGAUGGGGUUUCUAUGUUUCAUCCAAUGAAUUUCACGGCGAUUCAAGGAACAGGGUGAAUGGGCCCUGUUUUCCCCUAUUUUUAAUUAAAAGAACUUAUUUAAAAUAUUAAACUGACGUAGUGCACCCCCAUUAAACUCUAUAAUUUAAGAGCUCACAAGUUUUCCAUUUUUCAAUUAUAAUUUAUAAGCGUACUUUGACACCGAAUUUGUUUUUUUCUUUAUCGGCCAAAUUUUCCUUCCAUAGAUUUGAUCAUUAAAAUUUUUCCUCCCCAUCAACACAUAUGUCUCAAAACUUUUACCAUCUGACCUAUCAUUCGACGUUCUUUGACUCCAAGCAACAAAGUCUAUCUAGAAGAACCUAAUUAAACUGAAAGACACAGGGUCAGACGUGUAGUGUCUGACUGUCGGCAUAGGGGCUCAACAAUUGUUCUCUAUAAUAGAAGAUUUGCGGGAUGAAAUGGUAGAAUCUAGCUACCUGCUGUUAACUAUAAUUAACAAAUUAUCCUACAGGGGUCCCCCCAAUCCAUAUUCGCAAACAGUGGCUCAUGAGUCACCAGAGUUACUAGUGCGAUAACUCGUGCGUUGCACGGAAUUUUAUGUUAAAGUUUUUAAUAAAUAAAUUAGUUUUCAUAUAUAUGUAAUUUUUAAAAAAUAAAUAAGUCGAUCGAGCAUAAGUCAACCGUGUAAUAAUAUAUGAAGAUAAAAUUAGAAUAAAUAAAUGAAAUUGUGUUGUGUAGAUCGAACAUUUCCCAAAACUUCUUUAAACACUACAUUUACAGUAUUCUAGAGAGAGCUACAACUGACCAUGAGUAAAGAAGAGCCUCGAAAAGAAGAGCCCAACAUGAGAUAGUGUUUGUCAAUGGGCUCUGUUUUCCCCUAUUUUUAAUUAAAAGAAAUUAUUUAAAAUAUUAAACUGACGUGGCAAAAAGCAGAAAUGCUAUUGGAUGUUUGUGUAAAGUGGGUUUACACUGUCAGUGCACCUCCAUUAAACUCAUAUAAAAACAUCUAUUUUUUUAAAUGGGGUAGAUGUUAUUAGGAAUAACAUCUUUCUUAAAUAAUCACUCUUAGUGUUUUCAUUAUUUGAAAAUAAAGUACUUCUAGUUGUAAUGGCGUCAUGAUAUAAAGAUGUCCUAGGUGCUAUCUUCAACAUGGGUGGCUUCAAUGCACCGGGACCUGAUGGGAUGCAAGCUAUAUUCUACCAAAGCAACUGGGAGAUAGUUGGCCCUUCUUUGUGUGACUUUGUCAGAGGUAUCUUCUUGGAUCACAAUAGGAUUGGAGAAGUCAAUGACACCUUGAUUACCUUGAUCCCUAAAGUGGAGCCAGCUGUGAAUAUGAGACAAAUGCGGCCCAUUAGCCUGUGCAACGUGUCUUAUAAAGUGGUCUCCAAGAUUUUGGCUUCCAGACUUCGGGAUGGGAUGACACAUUUAGGUGGUCCUACCCAAUGUAGCUUUGUCCCAGGAAGACACAGUGGGGACAACAUCAUCAUCACUCAGGAGGUUAUCCACUCCAUGAGGGAGAAAAGAGGGAAAACUGGGUGGAUGGCGAUCAAAAUAGACCUUGAGAAGGCUUACGACAGAAUCAGAUGGGAUUUUGUGGUGGAUACCUUGAAGGAUUUUAAUGCUCCUGAGUCGUUCACCUCUUUGAUUCAUGCUUGCCUUUCCUCUGUUAGAAUGAAAGUCAUCUUGAAUGGCGAAUCUCUCCAAGAAUUCAAACCUUCUAGAGGUAUUAGACAAGGGGACCCCAUUUCCCCCUAUCUUUUUGUCCUCUGUAUUGAGAGACUGUCUCACCUCAUUAAUGCAGCUGUUGAUCAAGGACUUUGGAGGCCUAUCAGAUUGUGCAGAGAUGGUCCCUUGCUGUCUCAUUUAUCCUUUGCUGAUGACUUGGUCCUGUUUGCAGAGGCUAAAGAAGACCAAGUAGAUAUUAUUAACACUGUCUUGAACCUGUUUUGUGAGAGUUCUGGCCAGAGGUUGAAUAAGGAUAAGACAAGAAUGUUCUUCUCAAGGAAUGUCCAUGCUCAUAUCAGGGAGAAUCUGAGUUCUAGAGCCGGCUUCCAAAGGACUCAUGACUUGGGAAAAUACUUGGGAGUUCCCCUCCACCAUAAGAGGGUUUCAAAAGAAACUUUCCAGUUUAUUGUUGACAAAGUUAAUCAAAGACUCUCGGCUUGGAAGGGGAAAAAUCUCUCAUUUGCUGGUAGAUUAACUCUUACCAAAUCUGUCCUUGCUGCCCUUCCUUCAUAUGUCAUGCAAACUAAUCUGCUCCUGAUCUCUAUCUGCAAUAGCAUUGACCAAAAGUGCAGAGAAUUUGUGUGGGGGGACCUUGUUGAUAGCAGAAAGGUUCGUUUGAUGGCAUGGGACAAAGUUUACAGACCCACUAAUCAUGGAGGAUUAGGUUUGAGGCAAACAAGAAGUGCCAAUUCUGCCUUCAUGAUGAAAAUUGGCUGGGGCAUGUGUACUAAGCCAUCAGCUCUCUGGGUUAAGGUCCUUAAGUCGAAAUACAAGUGUGGUAAUGACUUGGUUCCUUCCUUUAAUAAGGGGAGAAUCUCCUCAAACCUUUGGAAAGGGGUCUGUAGGAAUUGGGAAACAGCUAAACCUUAUGUCUGCUGGAGAAUAGGGGAUGGUACGCAUAUCAAGUUCUGGACUGACUGCUGGCUGCCAGCCUUCCCCUCCCUUGAACAGUUGGCUCUAAAACCUCUCUCAGAUGAAGAUAAACUCUGCAAUUGUAGAGCCUUUGUUGGUUUUGCAGGUACUUGGGAUAGAGCAAAAUUGAGAGAAUGGCUUCCAAGUUGUGUUGUGGAUCAUAUCAUUGCUACUGCCCCUCCAAGCAAUGCUACCUCGAGAGACUCCAUAGCCUGGAGAGGAGAUGCAGAUGGUAUUUUCUCUGUUAAAUCUGCCUCCUGCAUCAACUCUGUGACUUCUCACGGAAACCAGGAAAAGCUCUUCCAGCUUGUGUGGAGAUGGAGAGGUCCCCAGAGAAUCCGCAUUCUCUUAUGGAAAAUUGCCUCCAAUGUUCUCCUCACAAAUGAACAGAGAGUUCAUAGGCACCUAACAACUGAUUUCUCUUGUCCAAGGGGCCCGUUUAUUUGGGAAUCAAAUCUGCAUGUCCUCAGGGACUGUGUGUUUGCUGAAGAAAUUUGGCUUCACCGGCUUCCCCCUGAAUUACUUCGAGGAUUUUUCAGCUUAGGAAGAGAGAAUUGGAUUUCCAGCAACCUGGAUAAUCAAUGUCAGUUUGGGCUCGAGGUUCCUUGGAGCAUAGUCUUUGGUGUGGCGCUGGAGGCUAUCUGGAGAGCCAGGAAUGAGCUCAUCUUUGAGAAUAUUGGAAGCUCACCAAGUGCCACUUGCAGCAGAAUUAAGAGCCUCAUUGCAGAUAUCAGAACAACCUCAGAUGAUGAAGUGCUUGGAUCAUCGCUAACCCGGGUUAGUGAGAUGAUAACCAUGCGUUGGACGCCUCCCCCUGUCGCUUGGAUCAAGCUGAAUUCAGAUGGUUCCCUUGUCUCUCAACAGCAAAGUGCAGCUUGUGGUGGUAUUAUCAGGGACCAUGAGGGCCAAUUUCUCCUAGCAUACUCAGUCAAUCUGGGAUGCUGCUCAAUUGUCCAAGCUGAAUUAUGGGGAAUCUUUCAUGGUUUGAGGAUUGCCUUAGCUAGAGGAUUCUCCCAAAUCCUCAUAGAAUCGGACUCCAAGCCGGCUAUCAAUCUCCUCAUAAAGGGGUGCCCUCCUUCUCACUCUAGUGCUCCUCUUAUAAGGGAAAUCAAAGACCUUGUGACUCAUUGCUCACAGUACAAUUGGAAGCAUGUCUACCGUGAGCCGAACUCGUGCGCUGAUGCGUUUGCAAAGAAUGGCUUAGGCUUGCUUAUGCCUAUGAAAGUUUUUGAUAACUUACCUUCUUUUUGCUAUGUUCCUUUUAGGUUUGACUCUUGUAACACCCUCUAUGAGAGAGGUUAGUUGGGCGCUUUAAGUCCCGAAAUUAACCAAAAAAAAAAAAAAAAAGAUGUCCUAGGUUCAUGAUAGGGUCAAAUUUUUAAAUAGUGGUCGAGGGUUCCGAGCUAAUUGGAUAACUUUGAUUAUGGACUGCGUCUACAGUUCAAUUUCAAAUUAUGUUAAAUGACAACCCACAUGUUCUUUUUACUCCUGGAAAAGGUUUACGACAAGGCGACCCCAUCUCUCAAUGUGCCUAGUCCCUAUUUUGAUGAGUUGAAGCAUCUAUUAAUGUCAAGGCAAUAGAAAGCUAUGAAAAACAUAUGGGGUUGUUGACCAUUAUUCGUAGUCCAAUACUCAGAUCUUUAGUUUUGUUCGAAAGAUACUUAAGGGUGGAAGGAGCGUUUUCUUGGGCGAAAAAAGAGGUUCUAAUUAAAGUUGUGGCACAAGAUAAACCAUAAUAUAUUUUGUCUUGGUUUUUUUUGUUAGCUAAUGGGUUGGCCUUUGUUCUGAAAUAGAUGGAAUGAUUAGAAAAUCUAUUGAAGUGGGGAUGUUUCGCAUUAAGGUAUUCAUGGGUUAAGACGGGAUAAACUUUGUCGUCCCAAAUAAGAUGGAGUUUUAGUUUAGGGUUUUCAAAACCUUUAAUACAACUCAUAUGGGAAAAAAAUGGUGGCGAAUCCUGAAGAACCUGAACUUUAUUGGGUUUGGAACUUAAAUCUAUCUAUUUCCCUAAUGGUUUUAUCUUUUAUGCUAGAAAAGGUUGGCGGCCAAUUUAUACUUGGACCAGCAUUCACCGCACAAAAUGGGUAUUGGGGGAGGGGUUUAAAUGGAAGAUUGACAAUAGUAGCAAGUUCUUAUUUCUGAUGAUAGAUGGUUACCCCACGGUUCUAGCUUAAUCUACUAGGAGAGCCUUAGAGAGGAUUGGGGUUCGUGUGGUGGCCAAUUUAUUGUCUUCUUUGAGGACAUGAUGGAAUAUGAGUUUAGUGAAAGCUCUCUUUUGGCCACCUACUAUUCCCAUUCCUGUGUAGAUUCCUCUCCUCUGCUCUCAUCAAGAGGAAACUUUGUCUUGGCCGAGUGCUACUAAUGGUGAAAUACCACAAAGUUAGGCUAUGGUUUUAUCCGGAGGAAAAGUAUUGCGCCCUUUUCGUCGUCUUCUAUAAAGCAUUAGUUUCCGCCGAGGUUUUGGAAAUCUCUUUGCAGAUCAUCCACAUUCCCUUGUUACAAAGAGGUGGUGUGGCAUGGGGGCUUUGGGAUCCUUCUAGUCAGACCCCUUUUGAGUCACACACGAUAUCGGUAGAGGAUGCUUGUUCAUUAUGUGAGUUAGUUUGUGAAUAUAUCCUUCAUGUGUUGUUGUUUUUUCAUGUGGUGAAGCGUUGGUGUUUUUCUUCUCCUUUGGGAAUUCACUCAAUGAUGCUUGUGAUUCUUUUUAUUUUUAUUAACCGUUCACAUGCAGUUGUUGUUUCCCCUGUUCCUCCAUGUUGCACAUAGUGUGAGCGGUUGCAAUCAACUUUUGUUAACAAAGUUCACUUUCUUGUGAGAAAAUUCUAGCGAAAGCUUCCUUCCUUGGAUCAUGUACUAAUCAGGUGUAGGUUCUUUCACAUUGCUUUAGCUCGGCAGCGGCCUCGGGAGGCGUCGUGAAGGUUAAUUUUGGUACGUCUGUCAUUCAAUAUGUAGAAGGUUUGGAGUCUGUUGCUCGUGACCAUUCAGAGGUGUUGGCUGUUGCUUCUAUAUAUCCUCUAGAUGUUCAAACUUAUUUUCUUGCAGAGGUUUUUUGGUGAACUCUAUCAUUGGCUAUUGAUUUAUGUUGGCGAGUUUUCUUUUUGAAAAAUUGUCUGCAACUCUUUGAUGCUUGGCGUCGCUCGAGGACCAGCUGCUCGUAUUGUAUUACUAUUAUUUUCCAUGGUAGAGCUUUAGAUUAAGAUUCUUUUAAGCUUUCUUUUAUCCGUCGUCCUGGUAAUUAUGUUGCGAACUACCUAAUUAAAAACUCUAACUUUCCUUUACCUUAUGUUGUUCCUCUUAUAAACUAGCAUUCAUGAUUUGAAAGUGUAUUCUACUACAUUUUGUAAAUGUAAACUAUUAUUCAUUUUCUAAUAAUUACUCAAAUUGAAAUUUCACUCCUCUUUGGCUAUGCGAUUUUAUUAAUAAUCGUCAUUUGUUUAGAAAUACUCUUUCUCAUGACCAUAAGGGACAGACCAAUGAAGAUCUUCAUACUCCACAUCGUAGACCCUCAAUAAUUGAAACGCAUUCAAUAGUACUUUGCUUAAGUUAAUUUAAUGUAAAUUCUUAGUGAAAAUGCCUCACCCCUAUAUCUUCAUUUCCUCUUAGUGUCUUAGUAUUGAUCUUUACUAUUUGAACAUCGUGUGUUCACAAUCAUUCACAAUGAUCCUAUCUUAAUUAAAUAGGUAAAGUCAAUGACUCUUAAAUAAAUUGUCACCAUAUUCAAUUCAUCCUCAAAAAGGAAGAAUGUCAUCUCCAAACCACCAAAUAGUAAUUUGCAAAGACCUACAAUAGAGAAUUCCUCUUAAAUGUUAGAUUUGAAAAACAUACAAGAGAAUAAUAAAUUAGCAGCCUGCAACCUUCAUGUCACAUAACCUCCCCGAGUUUAAGCAAUCUAGCAUCAACUUUUUUUACUAGGUGCUUAUCCAUAACUUCACUAACAUUGCAUUUUCUCAUGGAAUAAACAAUUCCUUUCUUUCAUUUUGAUAAAGCUUAACAACUACAAGAAGAAUAAAGCUAAUUUUUGGAACUAUCGUCUUCUCUACCAAUUUAUCUCAUUCUUCUUUCAUCAGUACUCCUAAAAGUCAUUUUAGAAAGAAUACUUUAUACAACGUACCCCAAUCUUUGUUGUUCGAUCUCUUCGAAAUAGAACCUUGAGCAUCUCUGAAUUUAGUUGAGACGUCCAGGCGGAGCAUGACAAGGAACAACGAGGAAUGUGCCUGCAAAUGUCCAGACAUCCAGUGAAGAUCUAUACACGCCUCCAGAAUGCAUCCCACACUACUACAAUUUUGGCUAUUUCCAGCAGUUUUUCCUACAGAGUUUUACCAAAAAUCGAUAGGAAAGUCAUUUUCUUCAUAUUUUCCUGCAGAUUUUCUUCCAUUGGUAAUACCUCCGUAGGUAAUUUAUUUUGUGUCUAAUUCCGUAGGAAAUAUUCGUAGAAAAAUCUAUAGGAAAAAUUUGUGGCUAAAUUUUGUGCCUAAAUCUAUAGGAAACAUUUGUAGGUAAAUCUGUAGGAAAAAUUUGUGGUAAAUUUGUAGGAAAUAUUUGUGCCAACAUCUGUAGGAAGUCAGGCCAAGAUCUUUAUCACCAAGUGAUAAUUCUGGUUCAAUCCAGCAUGAAUCUUCCCUACAUGUGUGUAUGCUAACUAUCUCAGUUUUUCUCUCUCCAGCCUUUCUGUAGCAUCUUUUGUGGUCCACUUCAUCUAGGUGUUGAGCUUUAACCAUGCAAGGAAUCAAGUCAUUUAUGUGAAAAUCAUAGUCCACAAAAGUAAUCCUUAUGUUUGAUUCUCUAAAAAUAACUCACAUCAAGAAACAUGUGGAAUUUUAGCAACAAAUCCAUAUUUUAAUAGAAGGAUAAAAACCAAUAGUCAUUUACAAAUUACAAACAAGGCCCUAUUUGCAACAAGAAAAGCUGGCAACUAUACAGAAGAUACAAUCAGAAUGGAAAGUACUCUACAUACUUCUGACGGGAAAAUCAGCAGCAGAAAAUUACAUCUUCAAACUGCUCCUUGUACAGACCAUCGUGUUCACUGGAAGAGUUAUUGUUUCUGUUUUUCUCUGCAAUAAUUUCUUCUUCUUCCAAUGGAUCACAUUCAUAAGGCUAUAAGCAAGAAGGUACCAGAAGCUUGUGCUUGAAAAUUUCACAAGCAAUGUGAUAUAAAAUAUAGAUCAAAUGUAGGAAAUACAAACAAAAUAGCAUUAUAACAAGUGAUAAAUAACAUUCAAAUAUUAUACCCUCAACGAAGUAUUAUAGAGGUCAACCUUAUACUAAGCUCUUAAUCAAAGUAAUCGUGAUCACUCCAAGUGCUAUAGGGAAUCCCUCGACGAAGUCUUAAAGAGGUCAACCCUAGACUAAGUCAUUAAUCAAUCUAAUCGUGAUCACUUCAAGUGCUAUAGGGAAACCCUCGACGAAGUCUUAUAGAGGUCAACCUUAGACUAAGUCAUUAAUCAAACUAAUCACAUUCACCCCAAGUGCUAUCAGGAAACCCUCGACGAAGUCUAAAAAAGGUCAACCUUAGUCUAAGUCUUUGCCUAAGAAAUUUAUCGAUAUAUUUUGAUCAUCAAAGGUACUACAAUGCAAAUCAUGUUAAAUAUCUAUGUAAUAUGUUUUACGGUGAAGUAGACUUAAUUUAAAAUUCCUUAGGUGCAUGCUAAGAGGGUUUAGGCUUCACAAAUGCCCUUAUUGGGUUAGACCAUCCAUUACAAUAUAUGAUCAUAAUGGUAAGCAGCAAAGUUCAUGAUUUCCUCUUCAUGUCAUUUGAAUUUCUGUAAUGUUAUAUUUAUCAGGCUAUAUUGGAAAGUCAUGCCAUGAAAAGGUCUUUUCCCAUAGAAUAUUUUUUCAUAUGAAAUGAGUGAAUGACAUAUAUGCAGUAAGUUUUUCAACCAACGUAUUUAAGAAAACUAAAAUCACUUGAACUCCAAGCUAUGCAUGGAGAGAAAAGGGAAAAAAUGUAUAUUAGUAUGGAUGUAGAAAGAGUUGUUUGCUUCAACUAAUGAUGUACCUGCUAAAGGUGUAACUGGAAGAAUUGGCAUAAAAUGAGAUGGAAACUAAUCUUUUCAAGAACACCUACCAAUUAUAGCUUAAGAAGUUUGAAUAUUCAUUUGGGGAUCUGGUUCAGAACUUAAGCCAUGCUACGUACCUUUAAUAUGGUAAAACUUCAAACCUGAUAGUUCCUGUAUCUUUCCCAAUUGAUAUGUAUUUCUACUUCUGGGGGACUUUAGUUUUUACAGUACUGUAUCAAAUACAACUUAAGUUGUUAUUACAAAUUACAACCAACACUUAAAUAUAAAGAAGGCUUAUAUUUUCACUUAUUCUCAGGAGUUCUUUUCACAACUAGAAAGCAUCCCAAAACAAAGGAUUUAAUGGUACGCCAAUGCUACUUUUUUUAUGCCUUCAUUUGAUUAAUUAUUACUAUUUUCCCAAAGCCUCAAGUUUUUGUUUUUAUUACUUAUAUUUCUUUUUAAACUCAUUGGCAGUCAGAAGAUUUAUGGAUAAAUUCACCAGAGAAGGGAAUAUGGGUCUUUACAAUACCAGGAGACGCUGGUUUCGUAGAGUUGAUUGGGGACUUCAAAAUUCAUUUUCAUGAUCGACAGGGAGAUUUCUACUGGUUUGUGUAAAACAUUUGCUUUUUUGUCUCUUUUGGAUUCCUGCUCUCUCAAUUAGUUAUAAACGGGGACUGAGACUAUUUGAAUAAUUUUUUUUAUAGGCGAAUGUUAAUUGUUAGUAAAUUAGUACAAAUUAUCCUUACUUAGGGUUUGAAUAAUUUGAUCGUACUUUUGCAUUUGAUUUGAUUGGUGACCAAAAUGUUAUAUCAUGAUGAAUAGUUUGAUUCUCAACUCUUGCCAUAUUCCAAGCUUUGCAUGUUAUGGAACAGAGUUUGUUUAGAUUAGCUGUUAUCUUGACAUGUCAGUUUCUUCUUGGCAGUUGGCUGAAUACAGCAAUGACAGAAAACAGAAAAGUUUUAGAUGGCUCGGAUCUUGAUGGUUUUGACAAGGUAUAAUACUUGUUUUCUAUGUUAUUCUUAUUCCCCUAUAAUACUUGUAAAUCCCUGAACCCUGAACUUGGUGAUAAUUUAAACCUUAUGACUGCGACAUUUAGAGAAAGGUCCCUGCUCCAGGGUUCCAGGUUGAAAUUGUGAUGGUAGACUAUAAUGGCACCCUACCUACAAGGACAAAAGCCAAUCCUGCAAGCAAAGGAUCUGAUAGUAGCACAAGCAAUGUCGUAGCCGGUGCAAGGCCUACAACUAAUUCAAGUGAGAGUAAGGUCCCUAGAAAUGGAGAUGAUGAUGUAUUCUCGGAUAGUGAUGAAGAGGAAGCUAAGGGUACACGAAGGAGGGAAGCUGCAGCUGAGUACAAAUAUAUGGCGGGAUGAGCUCCUUCAAUCUAAAUAUUAUUCAGGAAUUCGUAAAUAGUAGCUCAUAGCUCUUUCCAUGGAGAUCAUACCCAGAGAUAAAAGGACUUGCAUAUUAUGGAGUUCAUUGCAUUCCCCUCUAUUUGUUAUUAAAUGAACUUACUUUCUUGUAUUUUAAUACUCUAACUUUGUAUAUUUUUAAGAUUGUAUACUUCUAUGAUUCUUCCAAAUGUGCAUGAGAUGUUCCUUAAGGUCCUCUAGAGAAUUUUAAAUUUAGCUGCCAAAACAAAAUAUUACAAAUGAGUUGAGUUAAAACCAGUAAAUACAAGAGACCAGUAAUUUUUUCCCCUUCAAAAUGACAAUGUUGGGUAACAAAUGCAUAACAGAAUUACAUAUAACGAAAGAUCCAACACCGAAACAAAUAAAACAAACAUCAUGAAAAAAUAGUGAAGCAUACGAUCAUUAGGAUUUAAAACACCAACAGUCAUUGUGUCCUUUGUCUUAGAAAUCUCACAAUGUUUCCUUUUCUUAAGCAACCCUUGUAACUUAGACGCACAACACAAGGAAACAUAAUAAUUUUUCUUAUCAUAAUCUGACCAAGGACAUGGUACACCAUCACCCAACUUGAGCCCCUCACUAGGAAUACCCGUACCAUAGUUCCCAAAAGUAGCAGCAUCCAUGUGAAUAUUGGUUCCCUUAACUUGAGAAGUCAAAACAUGGUUUUCUACCUUAAGGUUGCAAUAAAAAACCUUAACCGAAUCCGGAUAAUACUCAACAUUAUCAAUUACACAUUAGGUUUAAACCUUGUUCCUCAAGAUGCUCUUGAAAUUGAAAGCCACUAACGGAAAAGGAGGAAAGAAUACCAUAUUUUGCAGGAAGCAAAGAACUCCGUGAAGACGUCCCUUUGAUCCUCUCCAUCAAGUAAACGAGACACAUCCAGAGGAUGACUUGGCUUCGUGGUCUUUCCUUUUCCAUGCUUGGUAGGACGAGAUGAAGGCAUUGAUUUUAGCGAUUUGGGUUUUGGGAACUCUCAAACAGGUGAGAAAUUGAAGAAUCUAAGUGGUGGAAAGUGUUCAGAACACUCAAGACAUAAGAAAUUGAGCUUUGGUUCACUCAAAACGCUAGAGGGAAAAGAAGCUUGAAAUCGCGAGACAUGGAACCCAGGAGAAUAGAAAGAAGGAAGAAGAUGGCUGGGUAAUCAGGUUCCACUACACAGGAAUCGGUUUCCUAAGUGUUCUGUCUAAGGCGUUCAGAACGUAAAAAAACAUGGAAAUCGAUUUCUAAUUGUUACUGGAAUUGCUGAAAAAACCCACAAAAGAAUGGUAAUGAUUACUAUCCUGGGUAAUCAUUUCCAUAAGGUUCUGUGAAAAAAAAUAAAACAACUUCUAAAAACCCUAAAAAAGUGGCUUUCAAAGCUAAAUCAUAUUAAACAACCUUCCAUUCAUGUUAAACCAAAUAUACAUAGAAAACGAUCAUGUUAAAUCAACCUAAUUCAUGCUUUUGAAACAAUUAAAAUGAAAAAUUUGUUAACAUUUUAAGUUAGAAAAUGAAGCAUAUUAUGUAACAUCACAUUCAUUAAAAAUACCAAGCUCCCUUCUAAUCUUAUAAAAUGACUCUUUUGGCAAAAUUUUAUAAGGAAACUCUCGACGAAGUCUUAUAAGGGUCAACCUUAGACUAAGUCAUGAACCGUUCCUCAAUUCAAGCCAUAAAACACGUAAACACAAAAUAGAAUAAGUUUCAACCAGUUUCUAAGGCCACAAUUCAAGCCAUAAAACACGUAAACACAAAAUACAACAAGUUUCAAACAAUUUCUAAGGCCACAAUUCAAGCCAUAAAACACGUAAACACAAAAUACAACAAGUUCCAACCAAUUUCUAAGGGCACAAUUCAAGCCACUUAUGUAUUUUUUUGUUGAUGCCAUAUCGAAGCAAAUUAGGGUGACAUCCACCACCAUGGAAGGGUUGCACAGGUUGAAUAGGUUGCAUGGGGAUCCCUUGACUUCGUGUACCAUGUUGCAUUAGAGGAACCACACGAUAAAAAGAUUGAGCAGGUUACAUAGGGAACCCUUGACUCUGUGUACUCUGUUGCACUAUAAGGACCACUCCAUAAUAGGAUUGGACAGGUUGCAUAGGGACCCCUUGACUAUGUGUUCUAUUACCAACAAUCACAUUGCUUUGAGAAUCCAAAUUGUGAUGUUGUGGUCCAACAACAUGCACCAUUUGUCAAGCUCCACUUUGAAUAGUAUCUGUUGUUCCGUCGGGAUUUGUUACCUAAUAAACAUCAAGUCAUAAGUUAAUCUCGAGCCUAUCAAAAAAAGAAGUUAAUCUCGAUUUUCAAGACUAAUGAAUAUUAAGAUUGUGAUAAGUGAGCAACUUACUAUGUUGUUCAUAAGUGGCACCAUUUGAUGAGCUCCAUUUUGAAGUAUACUCGUUGAUCUGUCGUGAUUGAUUACCUAAUAAACAACAAUGCAUAAGUUAAUCUCGAUUUUUAAAGCUAGUGAAUUAAAAUUUAGAUUGACCUAAGUGAGAAAAUUACUAUGUUGUGUAGAGGUGCCGCCAUGUGAGGAGUCCCACCAUGAAGUAUACUUGCAUUGUGAACCUGUAUCCUUUCCUAUAUUAAGCAAUAUGACACAAAUUCAGAUUCAUAUAAGUGAGCAAGACAAUAUUAAUGAAAGGUUUUUGUUAAGCACUCACCCUUUGCUUCAUUGAAUUUUGAGUAGAUAAUAUAGCAUAUGUCAUUUUUAUAUUCUGGAUGUUGGCUACUAACAGAUGCAUUGGGCUGCUUUCCAUAAAUUAAUCUAGCAUUAGCUUCAAAUCAACGCUAAACUACAUAAAACAACAAAAACGUGAACAAUUACCAUGUCCUUCUCCGAUUUCACUGUCACACUAUCAAGUUUUUUGUUUCUUUGCUUUACCACUACGACGAGGUUUGACAUUCGCAGUACUCUACAAAAAUAAAUGAAUCACAAAAUUAAGCAUAACACAUACUUUCAAGAUAGCUAAACAAUUUCAACAAGGCAUAUUCUAACAUUUGAAAUAUACUUGUUCGUAGUGUCCGGUGACUGUUGUACACUGUGAUAAUCACGUCCAGUCAAUUCUUUCUCUUUCCCCUGCAUAAAAGGUAAAUAACUAACUAAUUCGAAAACAAAGCAACUAAAUAAUAGUUUUGAAUAGAAAAAAAACUACACUUACUUCUUCUUCUUCUGAUGCAUCAUCCACAACAAGUUCUUCUUUGUCCCCAUUCUUCUUUUAGUGUGUCCUCUUCUAAGAAAAUUUGAACACCUUACCCUUGUAUUGGUUUUCCGCUUCUUUGUUGGAGCACCUUUGCCUGGAAUAACAUCUGGAUCACCAAUGUCUAUGUCUCCAUCGCUCCCACAACAGUUGUUUGAGAUGUCAUGAACUCAGAUUUUGCAUCUUUUCUCCACCGUCUACAAAUAAGACUACUCAGUACUUUUUCCAUGUUCUCAUGUCUCAUGGCUAAAAACAUAUGAGAACAAGGUAUGCCCCGAGAACGAAAUAGACGAGAAUCACAAGUAAAUUCAUUUUUUGUUGUGUUAUAGUGAACAUUCAAAACAUAGUCGCGCCUACCAUACUUGUGCAUCUUGAAUGUCUUGACCACUCCAUCAACUGUUUUUUCCAUCAUAUCUUGUCCACCCACAUCCUCAAUUUGGUUUCAUACUUCUUUAAAGAUUUCAUGCGUGAACACUUUCGAAGCAUGACUCUCAAUGUUAUAAAGAGGGGUGGUCAACACAUUUUCAGUAAAGAGAGAGUUAUAAUCAGCACGCAACUCAUUCUUCCUGUAUACUCUUAUGGCUUGUUCAAUGUUAUGCAUGAACUCGACAAUGCUAUUUCCCCCCCCCCCCCCCAACAUACGGGUUGAUCUGAAAAUUGAUUGCUUCACAUCGCGAGGGAGUUCGUAUGCCAGCAAAGAAUUGGUCAUAGAGAUAUGCAUUGGUCCAAGAAUUCCUUUUCUGAUAGGUUCUUAAAAACCAUCUAUUUCCCGCAAGAUUGUGUUCAACAACCGGGUUAUUCCAGUGUUCUCAAUUGUGAAAUCAGAAUACAUUGCUUUCGCAAAUCCAGUCAAGAAGGACUUAUUCUUCACAUUAUCCUUUGAGUUCUUGUGCACGUGCCAUGCACAUCGACGAAUGUGAUGCACUUGGAAAGACUUGUUUGAUUGCCUCCCUCAUAGCCUCAUCACCAUCUGUCACAACUGAUUUCGGGUGUUUAUUUGACAUUGCUUCCAAAAAUGUUUCCAAAAGCCACUUAUAUGAUUCCAUGGUUUCAUCAACUAGCAAAGUACAACCAAAAAUAAUCGUCUGCGAGUGACAGUUAGAACCAGAAAAUAUAACAAGUGGAGGUUAUAUUUGGUCUUCCCGUAUGUUGCAUGAAAAACAACCACAUCACCAAAGCACUGGAAAUUUGCUCUACUGCAACCAUCUGCCCGAAAAAUAUGUUUCAGUUUACAAUCCUCCGUAGUCGUGUAUUUCGAAUAAAACAUUGCAUCAUUGUCUGUCUUGCCUCUCAAAUAACUGAUAGCAGCUCGUGCAUCCCCACCUCGUAGCUUGUAAUGUUUCUGUCUGUUAAUAUAAUUGUACAAAUCCUCCUUUAUAAACCCAACUCUUGAAUAUCCACCUUUUUGCCCGUCAUGAAACCCAUAAUAUGACAUNNNNNNNNNNNNNNNNNNNNNNNNNNNNNNNNNNNNNNNNNNNNNNNNNNNNNNNNNNNNNNNNNNNNNNNNNNNNNNNNNNNNNNNNNNNNNNNNNNNNNNNNNNNNNNNNNNNNNNNNNNNNNNNNNNNNNNNNNNNNNNNNNNNNNNNNNNNNNNNNNNNNNNNNNNNNNNNNNNNNNNNNNNNNNNNNNNNNNNNNNNNNNNNNNNNNNNNNNNNNNNNNNNNNNNNNNNNNNNNNNNNNNNNNNNNNNNNNNNNNNNNNNNNNNNNNNNNNNNNNNNNNNNNNNNNNNNNNNNNNNNNNNNNNNNNNNNNNNNNNNNNNNNNNNNNNNNNNNNNNNNNNNNNNNNNNNNNNNNNNNNNNNNNNNNNNNNNNNNNNNNNNNNNNNNNNNNNNNNNNNNNNNNNNNNNNNNNNNNNNNNNNNNNNNNNNNNNNNNNNNNNNNNNNNNNNNNNNNNNNNNNNNNNNNNNNNNNNNNNNNNNNNNNNNNNNNNNNNNNNNNNNNNNNNNNNNNNNNNNNNNNNNNNNNNNNNNNNNNNNNNNNNNNNNNNNNNNNNNNNNNNNNNNNNNNNNNNNNNNNNNNNNNNNNNNNNNNNNNNNNNNNNNNNNNNNNNNNNNNNNNNNNNNNNNNNNNNNNNNNNNNNNNNNNNNNNNNNNNNNNNNNNNNNNNNNNNNNNNNNNNNNNNNNNNNNNNNNNNNNNNNNNNNNNNNNNNNNNNNNNNNNNNNNNNNNNNNNNNNNNNNNNNNNNNNNNNNNNNNNNNNNNNNNNNNNNNNNNNNNNNNNNNNNNNNNNNNNNNNNNNNNNNNNNNNNNNNNNNNNNNNNNNNNNNNNNNNNNNNNNNNNNNNNNNNNNNNNNNNNNNNNNNNNNNNNNNNNNNNNNNNNNNNNNNNNNNNNNNNNNNNNNNNNNNNNNNNNNNNNNNNNNNNNNNNNNNNNNNNNNNNNNNNNNNNNNNNNNNNNNNNNNNNNNNNNNNNNNNNNNNNNNNNNNNNNNNNNNNNNCCAGUGCCGAUGGUAGUUUGAGCAGCGAAUCCACCAGGAAGCCUGGAUUUGACGUACUUCAUGAGGUUUUCGGUUUCGGGCUCCACCGGAGCAGCGGCGGAGACGGUGAGGGAGGGGGUUUUGGGGACGCGCGAGAGGGAAAGGGGUUGGGUGGUUCUGGCAUAGGUAAGGGUUUGUGGGUUGUGAGAAAUGUUGGAGGAGAAGGAGAGUGAAGAGAGUGUUGCAGUGAGAGUGGAUAAAGAAAACGCCCCGGGUUUUCCUCAGUGAGCUAAGUGUUUUGGCAAAAGCAAAAACUUUUAUUGGAUAAAAAUCAUUGUAACCAAGCAUCUCCCAUUGGUUCUAUUCCCGAUUCAUAACUAGAAAGUUUCUCUGGCCCUUUGUUAAUCGGGGCCAAAAAGCCAGAAAUUGUAAAUGCCAAAAUCGGAAUAAAGAACAAUAUUAUUAGAAAUGCCCAAAAAAUAUCAUAUUCAUAAAGCAAAAACAUAAAAGUACUCCUAUGAAUGCAGAAAAUAUACCGGAUUUGUAUUAAUUCUUAGUCUAUUUGAAUUUCCAUUUUCUUUUCUAAUUUUUCGAUUUUUAGAUUAAUAGAAUCGAAAUAUAAAUGCUUUCUAUUAAAUGGAAAUGACUUCUCAAAAAAUUUGGACAAGUAUCCGACUAAUAUUCAUAAUUAUUUUAUCGAAUAUUAAGAUAUUCUACUAGAUAUUUCAAAAUUCUUUUUACUACAAAAAAGAUUUAUACUAGUACUAGUACUAAUCGUAUUAGUACUAAAUGUUCUAUGUUCUAUAUUAGUAAUAGUAAUGGUAAUAAGAUAUAUAUUAGAUAUACUAAAUCUUAGUAGUAUCUGUAGGAAUAUUAGGGCUAUACGGAUUCGAACCGUAGACCUUCUCGGUAAAACAGAUCAAACUUAUUAUUAUCAAAAUGAUUUGAAUUGUUUUUAAGACCCAACAUGCAUGUUUUUUGCAUUGGGCUUUUUCAUUAACUGAUAGAAAUAUCUGUUAGUCUAUCAUCCUUUUUCUUGACAGAAAGAAUAAAGAGAUGACUCCCUGUGCUCUGAUUUAAUAAUUUAUUAAUUAAUUAUUAGGAUUACAAUAUAAGAGCACUACCAAAGUAUUUCAAAGAAGAAGGUUUAUCCUGACGUAGGUAUGCUUCUGGCCGGGAUCAACUUAAGUUAAAUGGACUCUCUAUCAACCUACUUAAAUGAAAAUAUCAAAUAAGAAAUGAAACUUCAUACACCUUAAAGUUCAUAAGAUAGGAAGAAAAGAAAUUUUUUUUGAGGUCCCUAUACUCAUUAGGCCUACAAAAAAACCAAAAUAUUUUUAUGGGGGUUAACACCCGCCGCAAAUGAUUACAUGAUAGACUCCUAUGAAAAAAAAAGUCAUUGGCGCGCGUGUAAACGAGGUGCUCUACCAACUGAGCUAUAGCCCUUGUUCUUUUUGAUACAGAUUUUAUGAUAUUAAGUAGAUAAAUUCUUGUCAAGAUGAAUAUUGCAUGAUUCAAUCUUAUUGAUUGAUAUUGGGUUGGUAUUGCCUUCAUGCGCUCUCCUAACCCUAGGAGAGCGCAUGAAGGCAAUCAUACUUUUUUUUAAAAAAAACUGAGGUGCUUUUUUAUUAUGUGUAUAUAUAUAUUAAUAUAUGUAUCGGAUUGGAAAAAAGUUCUUAAGACUAUAUUUGGAUUGAUGGAUCAUAAUGGAAUGAACAUAAUGAAAAAUAAUGGAACGAAACAUGAUGAGAUGUAACGGAAUAAAAGUCAUUUUCCAUGGUUUGGAUAUUUUGUAAUGAAACAUAACAAAUUGAUCACUCUAUUGUUUGAGACGGAUCUAAGUUUUUAAUAUUUGAUUUUGAAAUCCUAUUUUAAAACAAAACUUGUUCGGAUAAAAUGGUGGUUGAUUCGUUUUUAAUGCAUUUUGAAAACGGUUUUAUAUCAUUUUAAAAUCCAUAAAAAUAAGAUUUUUGGUUUUAGUUUUGAGUUUCAAAUUCCUUAAUCCUAUCCCAAAUUUUUCAUGCAUCACAUGAACGGUGUCCCAAUACCCAAUGCCAUAGCCCACAUCAAGAAUUUCUCUAGACACUUUAUUGACUUCUUCAACAACAGACUGAAGUGUCCAAGAAUGUGAUGAAAUAAGUGUGUUAUUAGCACAGAAAAAUGAAGUGCACAACCAUAAGAAAGACAACCCACAUUCACAUAAACAUUUUCCGAAUCCAAUUCAAGCAUGUUUGUCAUUAAACCCUAAAUCCAAUAUGACUAUAUCAGAAAUUUCUUCACAUGCUGGUGAACCAUGAAUAGUAACUGAUGAUCCAACAACAAAGUUCAAUACUCCAAGCUAGUGAGAGCAAUUCUAUCAUGAUAUAGAAGAACUCAUUCCAAUAAACUUCAUCUAUUUUUUUUUAUCAAAAAAAAUUAGAUGGCUGAGUUCAACCCAAACGACAUUACAAACAAGGAUAGUGAAACCAUGAUUGGAAUUGUGCUAAUGUCACAAUGAUUUUCCAAUCCAAUGCUAUCUAGAUCACAAAAACUUAGGUAAUUACGUUGUGGAAACUACACACAUUUGGGACCUCCCAUGGUCAUUCAAUCUACUCAGAGUCAUUGUUCAUUAGCAAUUGAUCCUCCCCAUCUCUUCAUGCGACCCUCUGCUUGUUCAGCCUGUGAAAUCAAUGGACAAUUCAACUAACAAGUUACUUGUUUGUUUUGCAUAACAAAAAGAAAAUGGUAAGUCCAACUAAGUGCAUGUUUGAAAAAUGUAAGUCCUUCUACACAUGCUUUAGUUGGGAAUUUUGCUUGCAAGUUCUUAAUAUCUUCUGCAUUAUUGUGUAACAUUCUUGGUGGGACAUUUAUAAGGAUUAUGGUCUGCAGAGCUAUACCUCCAAUGAAGUAAAAGAGAAAACUAAAUAUAGAAAGCACCAACCUCCUUCUUCCAGUUCGUUACUGAAGUAACGAUUAUAAGGAUUAUGGUCUGCAGAACUGUACCACCAAUCAUCCCUGACCAAAUACCCUGAAUAGCAAAUCAUAUGUAUCAGUAUAUUCUGAUGAUACAAUCUUAGGCUGCAAAAAUAAUCUUCACUAACAAACAAUAACAAGUACUAAUCUUAUUUGAUUAUUGAAUGAAUCCCUUCUAAUAAUUUUACUUACUAUUAAGGUUCUACCUUGACUAGAGGCAUGGCGAAAUGAGCCCUAGAGUAAUCAACGACCCUAAAUUAGUUUUUGGAGUAGAGUUAGACCUAACUCAACCUAUCCUAAGUAUGUUUAUUAGGCCUCCGAGAAAUAGGCUACCUGCAGAUGUGCAAAAUUCACGCUCUAGAUGUCCAUCUCUAGGCGUGACGUGUGGGGGGUGUUAAAGUCUCACAUUGCUAGAGAUAUGAUUAAAUAAGUCCUUCAGAACAAUUCUCAUCUCCGAGCUAGCUUUUGGGUAGAGUUAGACCUAACCCGAAUUCUAUGACUUUAUACUAACUUAUGUAAGUACUUUCCAGAGAAGUAAGUGUGGUAGUCAUUACCUCUGCUCCAAAAUGAAAUGUGAAUCCCAACAAUAUCCCUGCUGGUAAUCCAAUAAUAUAGUAGCACCCAAUGUUGAUGUAUGCUACAAGAGCUUGCCACCCAGCUCCAACAGCAACACCUAAACCAGGGACAACAAAUAACUUAAAAUAACAAAAACAAGAAACACUUAUACAUGACUGGAUAUAAUAAUUUGUUUGUGCUUCAUUCUUUCUAGGACUAACCAGAUAAGACUGGUUGAAGGCUGUUAAGAAGCACUGUGGCACCAAGCAAAGCAGCAAGCUUUGUUGUUUCCUUGGCAACUGCAUCACUUGUGGUAAACAAGUGAGGAAAGAAAUCCCUUGUUGAAAGAACUAAAAUCAUAGCAAGAACACCUAUGAAGACUGAUGUGAGGGAAACCACCCACACCGCAAACCUCGCAGCCCGGAAAUUACCAGCCCCUAGUUCAUUUGAUACUCUCACACUGUUCAUACAUUAAAACAUUAGUUCUUCAGAAUAUUCACUAGUCACCCAAAUAUACUUUCUGAGGAGACACAGAAAAUCAGUGAGAAAUUCAGAACCUUCCAAUUCAUCCAUGGAAAAACUAAAACUUCAUUCUCAACUAUUCAUUCACACAACUAAUAAGGUUAUAAGAACAUAGAGAUUUCCUAUACUGAAGAUUUGAUGUUGAAAAUUCUAAGUGAGAGUGAUACAAUCUCAUAUUAUUUAGGAAUGAGUUAGAGCAUGUUUGGUGUUAGAAUUAAUUGUUUAGAUGUUUCCUUUAAAAAUCGAUUCUAGCAAAGGAAGCUACAAAACCUAGUUUCUGCAGUAGACCUAAUCAUAUAUGAGAUCCACAACUAGAUUUCACAAUAUACAUAAAUAAUUUCCGCACACAUGUAUCUGAACUUUUACCGGAAUCAACAUUUUACCAGAAUCAACUCUAUUCACAAUGAACUAUGACAAUACUGAUUCAAGCACAUAUUUAAAUAAAAAUAAAAUAAAGGAAAAUACUCAUAUUUAUUGCCCUAAAGUUGUUGGCCAAGUUAUGCUGUCAAAAUUCGUUAAUAUGAUCCACUAAAGUUGGUUUUCCUAGUUUCUGUACUAGGAAAAAUGAACAGACAUGGAGAUGAUCACCUUAUUCCUGCAUUGAACCCUAUUGCAAUCAUGGCAUCCCAGCCAUUGAUGUUCAUACUGCAAUGAUGAAAACAAGUACUAGUAAAUUAGUAUAUGACUAUUGAUCUUAUAUUUUGUCAUGCUCUUUAAAUAUAAUGCAGGUGGAUGACAUGCUGGCAAUGACUAGUAGUAGUAGCAUAUUUGGAAUUCAUCCUAGAACUGAUUCUAAAGACAAAAUUAGUUAUGGGAAGUAGCUUCUGAGUGUCAGAAUUGAUUCAGAAGAACAAGAAGCUGAUAUGAACAUGUUAUCGCAGAAGCUGAUCCAAACAUGCUAUCAAGGUAGCUUCUCCCCAGAAUUGAUUCUGGAUUUAGAAUCAAUUGUAGAAGUAUUUCUAAACAUGCACUAAGAAGCAUGAUAAGCUCAGUUUUGAUUUCAAACACAAUUAAAUAGUAGAUGGAAAACACCUUUACAUUCUACAUUACAAUGAGAAUUUGGAAGGAGGGAGGGUAAAGAAUUUCUUACCAGAUAGAUAUGGCAUCAACAGGUAUUAGAGGGUUUGUCAAACGCCCUGUUAUCACCACCAGGACCAUCAAGUACCAAAACUCCAAGCUGCAAUCCCAUUUCAUGAGUUCACUUUCAGCAUCAUAUUUCCAACAAAUGCAAUUAAAGUCAAAUGGAAAAUGAAGUAAAGAAAAUACCAUAACAUGACAGCUGAAGCCAAAGAAAGUUUCACAAAACCAUACAAGUCUGAAAAUGCUAGCCAUGAGAAUCCACUCCAAGCACCAUCUGAUUUUGUGAUCACAAUGUACAAAAAUUGUGCAAUGACAAUCAGCCACCAUGAUGCGUUAAGAGCAAUUGCUGCUCCAGUUAAGCCCCACCCAAGUUUCAGUAUUAGGAGCCAACUGAAAAAAAUAUGUAGCACCACGACAGUUGCUGAUAUCCAUAACAUCACUUGGACUUUCCUCUGUGACUGUAAGAACUUCUGCAUUGGAAAGUUGAAAGCAUAUGCAAACAACUGUGGUAACAUCCACAAAGCAAAUUUUCCUAAAAAAAUGAAAGUAGGAGAAAUUAAUAUAAGAUGCUCCUAAUUGUAUUAAAAGAAAUUUUAAGGUGAAUAUUUUACAAUUUUCUUAAAUCUUUUUUGGUGCUACUACACGUAUUCUUCACGGG